ACAAAGUAAUUUUUUUAGUAUAUAUCAUCACACAAUCAUAGUACAACCAGCACACACAAGCCAUCAUCCUCCGUACAAGCCAGAAAAGUAAAUAAGAACAAUCACAAGAUUUACAUGGGCAUCAUGCCCUAAUCUUGAUUGAUCUUGACAUUAUAUAGCAUGGGAUGACUUAAUGGUGGUGGGUUACAACACACCACUUAUUUAAUCCAACCGGCAAUAUAAGUAAUGACGAUACUAUGUCUGGCAUGGUUGAUGUACCCGAACAUCUCAUGCCAACAAUUACUCUUGGACGUUUGCUUCACCAUUUCCUUUUUCUGCUUGAGUCCCAAGUGGUGGUUUUGGUUGUGCAUUCGGGUCAGGCAGUGGUUGUGGAUUCGGGUCUGGUAAUGGUUGUGGGUUUGGAUCAGGUUGCGGUCCUGGUAAUGGCUGAGGGUUUGGGUUUGGCUGUGGGUCCGGCAAUGGCUUCGGGUUUGGGUCUGGUAAUGGUUGCGGGUUUGGAUGAGGUUGUGGUCCUGGUAAUGGCUGAGGGUUUGGGUUUGGCUGUGGGUUCGGCAAUGGUAUCGGGUUUGGGUCUGGUAAUGGUUCUGGGUUUGGAUCAGGCUGUGGUCCUGGUAAUGGCUGAGGGUUUGGGUUUGGUUGUGGGUCCGGCAAUGGUUUUGGGUUUGGGUCUGGUAAUGGUUGUGGAUUUCGAUCAGGCUGCGGUCUUGGUAAUGGUUGAGGGUUUGGUUUUGCUCGUGGGUCUGGUAGUGGCCGCGGCUUUGUGUUUGGCUGUGGGUUCAUCAACUGUUGCAGGUUUUGUCCUGGCAAUAGUUGUGGAUUUGGGUCAGGNNNNNNNNNNGUUGUGGGUUUGGAUCAGGUUGCGGCCCUGGUAGUGGCUUAGGGUUUGGGUUUGGCUGUGGGUCCGGCAAUGGUUUUGGGUUUGGGUCUGGUAAUGGUUGUGGAUUUCGAUCAGGCUGCGGUCUUGGUAAUGGUUGAGGGUUUGGUUUUGCUCGUGGGUCUGGUAGUGGCCGCGGCUUUGUGUUUGGCUGUGGGUUCAUCAACUGUUGCAGGUUUUGUCCUGGCAAUAGUUGUGGAUUUGGGUCAGGGUGUGGUCCUGGUAAUGGUUGAGCGUUUGGAUCAGGUUGUGGAUCUAGCAGUGGUUGUGGGUUUGUAUGAGGUUUAGGCUCGGGUAGCGGUUGCGGCUUUGGGUCUGGUUGUGGUCCCGGCAAUGGUUGAGGGUUUGGAUCUGGCUGUUUUCCUGGUAGUGGUUCUGGAUUUGGGUUCGCCCGUGGGCCGUACUGAGGGUCUCUAGUGAUCAGGUUGUGCCUCCCGGCAGCAAGAGCAAACACUGGAAGAAGCAUAAGCAGCAACGGUGCUACGAGAAGAGAAGACGCGGAUGGGCGCUUCCUCAUCGUCAUGGCUAAGCUUGUGUUGGUACGAACUUGCAAGUGCGUGCGUCUCGAUCUUCCUAUUUAUAAGCGAAUUCAGCCAUCAAGGCUGGACAAGCAUGUACGUUGUUUACUCCAACUCUGAUUGGGCUUGUUAGCUUUGCCUUUUUGAAGAUGCGGGACUGCACGCCUCCGCUUAGUGCUCUAACCAGCAGCUAGCCACAAUAAAAAGUCAUUUAGAAAAGUUUUGAGUUAUCAUCAUAAAGAAAAAGUUUGUGUAGUUUUCGUCUGGAUAGAUGUGACAUUUUUCAGUUGAUCGUAGGAGAGCAACAUGCAGAAGCAUACAGUUGCCCAAGUUGUGAACAACCUGAUCACUUUCAGUAAUUCUGUUGAAUUCAUAGCAGGGUAGCAGAUGGCUGUGAGCAUGGAAUUUGUAAAUCAUGUAAUUUUUUUUAAAAUAAGAAAAAUCAUGUAAACACGUAUACAUGUUAUUUGCGUGUCCAAGAAGUUUAAUUAAGCCAUACACAGAUUUGUAGGCUACAUAAAAAAAAUCCAGCCCAAAUGCAAUAGAAAUAAGCCUAUUUUAAAUUAUGUAUUUGUCGUUUUCCCCUUUGUGUAGACUAUAUAUGAUUUUUUUUCAAAUAUAUUUUGUUGAAAUUUUGUAUGAACACACUAUACCUUUUUUAUUGAAAAUUUUGAGGUGCAAGAAUAAAGUUCUUGAUAAAAAAUAAAGAAGCCUGUACGAUGUAUUGUUGUACACAGGAAUAUCGUGGAUUCUAAACUUGAGGUUUGCAUGGAUGGAUUUUUUUUACGGAAUCUAGUUUAAAUGAGUCCUAUUGUUUCCCGUAUGAAUUCCUAUUCUAUGACUCAAACAACACAUACAGAAAAAUUUUCUAAGGAUUAGAUUCCUCCAAAAUUCUAUUAAAAGUUUAAAACCCCUUUGAAUCAAAGAAGCCUAUUCCCCCCAAAAUAAAGAAAAGAAUCAAAUGAGCUCGGGUGAACAGUAAAAUCAAAACUAAAUCAAUUUUUUUUUAAAAAAAUCCAAUUUUUUUUGGGAGAAAAAGUUCUAAGUGCUUGCAAAAAUUCGCCAUGAAAUCACAUUUCUAGAAGGCGUGGCAAAAAAAAAAAACAAAAUCAGUACUCUGAAAAAGCUACUUUCAAAAGCAUUUUGGAGCACUGAAUUUGUUUUUUUUGCCACGCUUUACAGGAAUGUGAUUUCAUGAUGAAUUUUUGCAAGCACUUAAAACUUUUGUUAAUGUUUCUCCCAAAAAAAAUUGGGAAUUUUUUGAAUUUUUUUUGAAUUUUUUUCGAUUUUACUGUUCACCAAGCUCAAAUGAGCUCGGGAGCAGAAAGGCACUUUCGAUCAAAGAAGCCUAUUUCGCAGCAAAGCUAGUGGCUGUCCUAUCGGACAGUGAUGCACCUUUAAGUACGCGGUUUCUAAUAAUCACGAUCAGUGCACGCCGUGCACAGUGCACUCAUUUCGGUUGUAGAUGUAACUUUCACAUUUCAUACACCAAUCACGAUCAGUUGCUUGUUGGCACGGGCGGAGCUCCGUAGGGGCAGACCUGGGCCAUGGCCCGCCCAGGAAUUUGACAAAAAAAGUUUUUACUACUAGUCGUCUUAGCCCAGCCCACUAGCCCACGCACGCACUGAAUAUCCCCCCAUCGGCCAUCGUCUCCUCGUCUCGCGCACGCUGCACGCACAGGCACACUCACGCCUUCCCCAAUUCCCCAUCCUCUCAGUCCCAGACUCAUGUAGGUUGUAGCCACGCCGCCGACGACUACCGACGUGGACAGGGAACACGUCCACACGGUCCACCGGAGCGCGCCGCCCGCCAUCUCUCGGAGCAACCGCCAUGGCAACGCCCGCCGGGAUCUCGCCUCGCCCCUGCCCUGCUCCCUCCUGCCGCCCAUCAUCCGCACACUUACANNNNNNNNNNNNNNNNNNNNNNNNNNNNNNNNNNNNNNNNNNNNNNNNNNNNNNNNNNNNNNNNNNNNNNNNNNNNNNNNNNNNNNNNNNNNNNNNNNNNNNNNNNNNNNNNNNNNNNNNNNNNNNNNNNNNNGCAAUAACCUGAUUUUGUUCAUUUCCAUACACCCAGUGAUCAGUCCUGCUAGUGAUAAAUAAUAGUCUGAUGAUCUGAUCUUACGCAAAUUUUAACAUAGGUAGUCGGGAAAGGAAAAUAAGACUCAGAGAAGAAGAAGAUCACUGCACAAUAAGAUGGAAGAUGAGAAUCUGGCUAAUAACUUGUUAGUUCACAUAGAUGGUGGAAUUCUAGAAAACUACAGCCACGAAGAUGUCAUUGCAGAUUUUAUAAACAAGAAGAUCGGAGAGUUGAUUGUAUGUGAGUAGGUCCAUGUCUAAUGUCUCUGACACUUUUGUAUUAUCUAACUCAAUAGUGAAACAUGGUUGAACUGUACUUUGGUACAUAUAUAUAUUAUAUAUAUACAUAUCUGCUAGCUCAAUCUUGUGACCUGGGUGCUUGUAAUAUGUCCUUAUGGGUAAGAAUUUAGAAAAAAUUGUGUUCUUCUUCAGUCUGGCCCGCCCAACUUUUUCGUUCAAGCUCCGCCACUGCUUGUUGGUGCACAUCCAAUGCUCUAGAAUAAAACAAAAAGUACUCCUAUAUACAAAACGUACUUUACCUAACCUACCGAUUGAAUCGUAUACAUAGAUGAAAAAGAAAAGACAUCCGUAGAGUCCCAAGUUACCUACCGAUUGAAUCGUAUGUAUAGAUGAAAAAGAAAAGACAUCCAUAGAGUACCAAGUUACCUACCGAUUGAAUCAUACAUAUAGACGAAAAAGAAAAGACAUGCAUAGAGUACCAAGUUAAAGACGAUAUGACCUCACAACUAGAUUGGGUUGGGUGAGUGGAGUGCCACUUUAAUCCUUGUCUGGAGCACGCGCUAUGAUAUUUCUUCAGAGGCGCUGAAGUGGGGAACAAGACUGAUAGAACAAACAACAAGUGAGAUAUUUUGAGCUUCACUAGGUUGGAGGCCUGGUGUGCUCAGAAUUUAUCAGGGUGUAUUCAGGUUGCAGCACUGCUGCCAAGGCAUUUCUCCAGCUUCGCUCUGAAGAUCUUUUGCUUUGCUUUGUUCCUCUGUUUGUUUGUAAUGAAGUUCCCGUGUUUUGUGAUGGUUGCAAGUUCCCUGUAGUCUUUAUAUAUUUGGCUCAAGGGUGCCUGAAAAUUUCAUAGUUAUGUUUAAAAAAAUGCCGUAGUUGUUAGUUUUUGGACCAUCUAUCUAAAUCUAUCAAAGACCCUGUUGCCCGAGCUAGCCAAUCAAAGUUGGGCCAUUUGCAUCAAGCUAGGUAGGAUGCGUCGCCGGAAAACCCAAAUCGCUAAUUAAGGAGUACUCUUUGCAAAGGUCACUCCUACCAUGUCGCAACUAGUGAGUUUUCCUUUUUUUGUCGAUUCGUUUAUUCAACACGUUUUAUCGGUUAAAACAUGCAUUCACAUCUUGAAUCGUUUUCUCCAUUGUAUUCCUCGCACUGAGAUCUUGAAAAUUAGAUCCGAUCUGAUAGGUUUUGAUGAACGUUUUACUUUACGAAAAAUACCGAACAAAAAACAAACCGGGAGCACAUUUUUUCCUUUCUGAAAAGGGCACAAUCGUGCCUCUCGUGUCGUUACAAAUCUUAUCUCUGUUCGUCGUUACAAAUCCUAUGAAUUGCUAUUCUAUCUUCACAACAUCCUAUACUCCCCUUGUGUCGUUACAAAUCUUAUCUCUGUUCGUCGUUUUUGCAUUGACAAUUCAGUAACAAUUGAGUUUUACCCCCUUGACUUUGUUGUGAAGGAUCUAGCCACUCGGACUCCUUAUGAGCCGCAGUAGCUACGGCCAGCUUUACUCCUUCUCCGGCGGCACCACCAACCACCAGGCGGUGCUCUCUAUGGACGUUGGAAACUUGUGGCAUCAGCGAUUAGGGCACCCCAGUGCUGCCUCCCUUUCCCGUUUGGCGAGCAGUUUUUAACCAAAUUGUAAUAAGCCAGUCCACCCCAUGGUACUUGUCAUGCAUGUCAAUUAGGCCACCAUGCUCUCCUUCCUUUUUCCAGAUUCUCUGUCAUUUACUACUUUUCCUUUUCAACUAGUGCACUAUGAUAUAUGAACCUCAACAAUUGCGAGUUUUUCCGGCUUCAAAUAUUAUUUGUUUGUCAUAGACGACUUCACUCACUUCCCUUGGAGCUUCCCGCUACACCAUAAGCCCCAUGCCGCUGCCACCCUUGAACGCUUUUACCAGUACGUGCUCAUACAAUUCCGUGUUUACAUACAGUGUGUCCAAUGUGAUAAUGGGGGCGACUUCCUCAACGUUCACCUAUGCACUUUCUGUUGGGGAACGUUGCAGAAAACAAAAAUUUUCCUACGGUUUCACCAAGAUCCAUCUAGGACUUCAUCUAGCAACGAGUAAUCGGAUUGCAUCUACGUACCUUGUAGAUCGCGAGUGGAAGCGUUCAAAGAACGGGGAUGAGGGAGUCGUACUCGACGUGAUCCAAAUCACCGGAGAUCCUAGCGCCGAACGGACGACACCUCCGCGUUCAACACACGUACGGUCAGCGUAACGUCUCCUUCCUCUUGAUCCAGCAAGGGGCAAGGAGAGGUUGAGGAAGAUGGCUCCAGCAGCAGCACGACGGCGUGGUGGUGAUGGAGCUGCAGUACUCCGGCAGGGCUUCGCCAAGCUCUAUGGAGGAGGAGGAUGUGUUGGAGAGGGAGAGGGAGGCACCAAAGGCAAAGGUAAGAGGUCCUCCAUCCUCCCCACUAUAUAUAGGGGGGCCUAGGGGGGGACGCCGGCCCUAGGAGAUGCAAUCUCCUAGGGGGGCGGCGGCCAAGGGGUGGGGGACUUGCCCCCCAAGCAAGGGGGCGUCCCCCCCCUUUAGGGUUUCCCCCACCCUAGGCGCAUGGGCCCUAGGGGAAGUGGCGCCCCAGCCCACUUUGGGCUGGAUCCCUUCCCACUUCAGCCCAUGGGGCCCUCCGGGAUAGGUGGCCCCACCCGGUGGACCCCCGGGACCCUUCCGGUGGUCCCGGUACAAUACCGGUGACCCCGAAACUUGUCCCGAUAGCCGAAAUAGCACUUCCUAUAUAUAAUUAUUUACCUCCGGACCAUUCCGGAACUCCUCGUGAUGUCCGGGAUCUCAUCCGGGACCCCGAACAACAUCCGGGUUACUGCAUAUACAUAUCCCUAUAACCCUAGCGUCACCGAACCUUAAGUGUGUAGACCCUACGGGUUCGGGAGACAUGUAGACAUGACCGAGAUCGCUCUCCGGUCAAUAAACAAUAGCGGGAUCUGGAUACCCAUGUUGGCUCCCACAUGCUCCUCGAUGAUCUCAUCGGAUGAACCACGAUGUCGAGGAUUCAAGCAACCCCGUAUACAAUUCCCUUCGUCAGUCGGUAUGUUACUUGCCCGAGAUUCGGUCGUCGGUAUCCCAAUACCUCGUUCAAUCUCGUUACCGGCAAGUCACUUUACUCUUACCGUAAUGCAUGAUCCCGUGACCAGACACUUGGUCACUUUGAGCUCAUUAUGAUGAUGCAUUACCGAGUGGGCCCAGUGAUACCUCUUCGUCAUACGGAGUGACAAAUUCCAGUCUUGAUCCGUGUCAACCCAACAGACACUUUCGGAGAUACCCGUAGUAUACCUUUAUAGUCACCCAGUUACUUGUGACGUUUGGUACACCCAAAGCACUCCUACGGUAUCCGGGAGUUACACGAUCUCAUGGUCUAAGGAAAAGAUACUUGACAUUGGAAAACUCUAGCAAAUGAACUAUACGAUCUUGUGCUAUGUUUAGGAUUGGGUCUUGUCCAUCACAUCAUUCUCCUAAUGAUAUGAUCUCGUUAUCAAUGACAUUCAAUGUCCAUAGUCAGGAAACCAUGACUAUCUUUGAUCAACGAGCUAGUCAACUAGAGGCUUACUAGGGACAUGUUGGUGUCUAAGUAUUCACACAUGUAUUACAAUUUCCGGAUAACACAAUUAUAGCAUGAAUAAAAGACAAUUAUCAUGAACAAGGAAAUAUAAUAAUAAUGCUUUUAUUAUUGCCUCUAGGGCAUAUUUCCAACAGUCUCCCACUUGCACUAGAGUCAAUAAUCUAGUUACAUUGUGAUGAAUCGAACACCCAUGGAAUUCUGGUGUUGAUCAUGUUUUGCUCUAGGGAGAGGUUUAGUCAACGGAUCUGCUACAUUCAGGUCCAUAUGUACUUUACAAAUAUCUAUGUCUCCAUCUUGAACAUUUUCACGAAUGGAGUUGAAGCGACGCUUGAUGUGCCUCGUCUUCUUGUGAAAUCUGGGCUCCUUGGCAAGUGCAAUAGCUCCAUGUUGUCACAGAAGAGCUUCAUAGGCCCCGAUGCAUUGGGUAUGACUCCUAGGUCGGUGAUGAACUCCUUCACCCAAAUUGCUUCAUGCGCUGCCUCCGAGGCUGCCAUGUACUCCGCUUCACAUGUAGAUCCCGCCACGACGCUCUUCUUGCAACUGCACCAGCUUACUGCCCUACCAUUCAAAAUAUACACGUAUCCGGUUUGUGACUUAGAGUCAUCCAGAUCUGUGUCGAAGCUAGCAUCGACGUAACCAUUUACGACGAGCUCUUCGUCACCUCCAUAGACGAGAAACAUUUCCUUAGUCCUUUUCAGGUACUUCAGGAUAUUCUUGACCGCUGUCCAGUGUUCCUUGCCGGGAUUACUUUGGUACCUACCUACCAAACUUACGGCUAGGUUUACAUCAGGUCUGGUACACAGCAUGGCAUACAUAAUAGAACCUAUGGCUGAGGCAUAGGGGAUGAUACUCAUCUCUUCUAUAUCUUCUGCCGUGGUCGGACAUUGAGCUGAGCUCAAUUUCAUACCUUGCAACACAGGCAAGAACCCCUUCUUAGACUGAUCCAUAUUGAAUUUCUUCAAUAUCUUAUCAAGGUAUGUGCUUUGUGAAAGACCUAUGAGGCGUCUUGAUCUAUCUCUGUAGAUCUUGAUGCCUAAUAUAUAAGCAGCUUCUCCAAGGUCCUUCAUUGAAAAACUCUUAUUCAAGUAGGCCUUAAUGCUGUCCAAAAGUUCUAUAUCAUUUCCCAUCAAAAGUAUGUCAUCUACAUAUAAUAUGAGAAAUGCUACAGAGCUCCCACUCACUUUCUUGUAAACACAGGCUUCUCCAUAAGUCUGCGUAAACCCAAACGCUUUGAUCAUCUCAUCAAAGCGAAUGUUCCAACUCCGAGAUGCUUGCACCAGCCCAUAAAUCGAGCGUUGGAGCUUGCACACCUUGUCAGCAUACUUAGGAUCGACAAAACCUUACGGCUGCAUCAUAUACCAUUCUUCCUUAAGGAAACCAUUAGGAAUGCCGUUUUGACGUCCAUUUGCCAUAUUUCAUAAUCAUAGAAUGCGGCAAUUGCUAACAUGAUUCGGACGGACUUCAGCUUCGCUACCGGUGAGAAAGUCUCAUCGUAGUCAACCCCUUGAACUUGUCGAUAACCCUUAGCGACAAGCCGAGCUUUAUAGAUGGUCACACUACCAUCCGCGUCUGUCUUCUUCUUAAAGAUCCAUUUAUUUUCUAUGGCUUGCCGCUCUACGGCCAAGUCAGUCAAAGUCCAUACUUCGUUUUCAUACAUGGAUCCUAUCUCGGAUUUCAUGGCUUCCAGCCAUUUGUCAGAAUCCGGGCCCGCCAUCGCUUCUUCAUAGUUUGAAGGUUCACCGUUGUCUAACAACAUGAUUUCCAAGACAGGGUUGCCGUACCAAUCUGGUGCGGAACGUGUCCUUGUGGACCUUCGAAUUUCAGUAGGAGCUUGAUCAGAAGUAUCUUGAUCAUCAUCAUUAACUUCCUCUCUAGUCGGUGCAGGCACCUCAGGAACAUUUUCUUGAGUUGCGCCAUUUUCCGGUUCAAGAGGUAAUACUUCAUCAAGUUCUACUUUCCUCCCAUUUACUUCUUUCGAGAGAAACUCCUUCUCUAGAAAGGAUCCAUUCUUGGCAACAAAGAUCUUGCCUUCGGAUCUGAGGUAGAAGGUAUACCCAAUAGUUUCUUUAGGGUAUCCUAUGAAGACGCAUUUUUCCGACUUGGGUUCGAGCUUUUCAGGUUGAAGUUUCUUGACAUAAGCAUCGCAUACCCAAACUUUUAGAAACGAUAGCUUAGCUUUCUUCCCAAACCAUAAUUCAUACGGUGUCGUCUCAACGGAUUUCGACGGAGCCCUAUUUAAAGUGAAUGCGGGAGUCUCUAAAGCAUAGCCCCAAAAAGAUAGCGGUAAAUCGGUAAGAGACAUCAUAGAUCACACCAUAUCUAAUAGAGUGCGAUUACGACGUUCGGACACACCAUUACGCUGAGGUGUUCCAAGCGGCGUGAGUUGUGAAACUAUUCCAUAUUUUCUUAAGUGUGUGCCAAACUCGUGACUCAAGUAUUCUCCUUCACGAUCUGAUCGCAGGAACUUGAUUUUCCUGUCACGUUGAUUCUCAACCUCACUCUGAAAUUCCUUGAACUUUUCAAAGGUCUCAGACUUGUGUUUCAUUAAGUAGACAUACCCAUAUAUACUCAAGUCAUCAGUGAGGGUGAGAACAUAACGCCACCGUGAGCCUCAACAGUCAUUGGACCGCACACAUCAGUAUGUAUGAUUUCCAAUAAGUUGGUUUCUCGCUCCAUUGUUCCUGAGAACGGAGUCUUGGUCAUUUUACCCAUGAGGCAUGAUUCGCACAUGUCAAAUGAUUCGUAAUCAAGAGACUCUAAAAGUCCAUCAGCAUGGAGCUUCUUCAUGCGUUUGACACCUAUGUGACCAAGGCGGCAGUGCCACAAGUAUGUGGGACUAUCAUUAUCAAUCUUACAUCUUUUGGUACUCACACUAUGAACAUGUGUAGCAUUACGCUCGAGAUUCAUUAAGAAUAAACCAUUCACCAUCGGAGCAUGACCAUAAAACAUAUCUCUCAUAUAAAUAGAACAACCAUUAUUCUCGGAUUUAAAUGAGUAGCCAUCUCGAAUUAAACGAGAUCCUGAUACAAUGUUCAUGCUCAAAGCUAGCACUAAAUAACAAUUAUUAAGGUUUAAAACUAAUCCCGAAGGUAAAUGUAGAGGUAGCGUGCCGACGGCGAUCACAUUGACCUUGGAACCAUUCCCGACGCGCAUCGUCACCUCGUCCUUCGCCAGUCUCCGCUUAUUCCGCAGCUCCUGUUUUGAGUUACAAAUGUGAGCAACCGCACCGGUAUCAAAUACCCAGGAGCUACUACGAGUACUGGUAAGGUACACAUCAAUUACAUGUAUAUCACAUAUACCUUUCGUGAUGCCGGCCUUCUUGUCCGCUAAGUAUUUGGGGCAGUUUCGCUUCCAGUGACCACUUCCCUUGCAAUAAAAGCACUUAGUCUCGGGCUUGGGUCCAUUCUUUGGCUUCUUCCCGGCAGCUUGCUUGCCGGGCGCGGCAACUCCCUUGUCGUCCUUCUUGAAGGCUUUCUUACCCUUGCCCUUCUUGAACUUAGUGGUUUUAUUCACCAUCAACACUUGAUGUUCCUUUUUGACUUCUACCUCAGCUGAUUUCAGCAUUGCAAAUACGUCAGGAAUGGUCUUUUCCAUCCCCUGCAUAUUGAAGUUUAUCACAAAGCUCUUGUAGCUCGGUGGAAGCGACUGAAGGAUUCUGUCAAUGACCGUGUCAUCCGGGAGAUUAACUCCCAGCUGAGUCAAGCGGUUAUGCAACCCAGACAUAAUGAGUAUGUGCUCACUGACAGAACUGUUUUCCUCCAUCUUACAGCUGAAGAACUUGUCGGAGACUUGAUAUCUCUCGACCCGGGCAUGAGCUUGGAAAACCAUUUUCAGCUCUUCGAACAUCUCAUAUGCUCCGUGUCUCUCAAAACGCUUUUGGAGCCCCGGCUCUAAGCUGUAAAGCAUGCCGGACUGAACGAGGGAGUAGUCAUCGGUACGUGCCUGCCAAGCGUUCAUAACGUCUUGUUCUGCAGGGAGAACAGGUGUGUCACCUGGCGGUGCUUGUAGGACAUAAUCUUUCUUGGCAGCUAUGAGGAUGAUCCUCAGGUUUCGGACCCAGUCCGUGUAGUUGCUGCCAUCGUCUUUCAGCUUGGUUUUCUCUAGGAACGCGUUGAAGUUGAGGACUACGUUGGCCAUUUGAUCUACAAGACAUAUUGUAAAUUUUUUAGACUAAGUUCAUGAUAAUUAAGUUCAUCUAAUCAAAUUAUUCAAUGAACUCCCACUUAGAUAGACAUCCCUCCAGUAAUCUAAGUAUAACAUGAUCCGAGUUAACUAGGACGUGUCCGAUCAUCACGUAAGACGGACUAGUCAACAUCGGUGAACAUCUUCAUGUUGAUCGUAUCUUCUAUAUGACUCAUGCUCGACCUUUCGGUCUUCUGUGUUCCGAGGCCAUGUCUGUACAUGCUAGGCUCGUCAAGUCAACCUAAGUGUUUGCAUGUGUAAAUCUGUCUUACACCCGUUGUAUGUGAACGUUGGAAUGAAUCUAACACCCGAUCAUCACGUGGUGCUUCGAAACAACGAACUGUCGCAAUGGUGCACAGUUAGGAGAAACACUUUCUUGAAAUUAUUAUGAGGGAUCAUCUUAUUUACUAUCGUUGUUCUAAGUAAACAAGAUGCAGAAACAUGAUAAACAUCACAUGCAAUCAAAUAGUGACAUGAUAUGGCCAAUAUCACAUAGCUCCUUUGAUCUCCAUCUUGGGGCUCCAUGAUCAUCUUGUCACCAGCAUGACACCAUGAUCUCCAUCAUCAUGAUCUCCAUCACAGUGUCUCCAUGAAGUUGCUCGCCAACUAUUACUUCUACUACUAUGGCUAACACGUUUAGCAAUAAAGUAAAGUAAUUUACAUGGCGUUUCUCAAUGAAACGCAGGUCAUACAAAAAAUAAAGACAACUCCUAUGGCUCCUGCCGGUUGUCAUACUCAUCGACAUGCAAGUCGUGAUUCCUAUUACAAUAGCAUGAGCAUCUCAUACAUCACAUGUAUAUCAUUCAUCAUUCAUCACAACUUUGGCCAUAUCACAUCACAGAACACUUGCUGCAAAAACAAGUUAGACGUCCUCUAAUUGUUGUUGCAAGUUUUACGUGGCUGCAAUAGGGUUCUAGCAAGAACGUUUUCUUACCUACGUGAAAGCCACAACAUGAUUUGUCAACUUCUAUUUACCCUUCAUAAGGACCCUUUUCAUCGAAUCCGCUCCAACUAAAGUGGGAGAGACAGACACCCGCCAGCCACCUUAUGCAACUUGUGCAUGUUAGUCGGUGGAACCGGUCUCACGUAAGCGUACGUGUAAGGUUGGUCCGGGCCGCUUCAUCCCACAAUACCGUUGAAGCAAGAUAAGACUAGUAGCGGCAAGAAAGUUGACAACAUCUACGCCCACAACAAAUUGUGUUCUACUCGUGCAAAGAGAACUACGCAUAGACCUAGCUCAUGAUGCCACUGUUGGGGAACGUUGCAGAAAACAAAAUUUUUCCUACGGUUUCACCAAGAUCCAUCUAGGAGUUCAUCUAGCAACGAGUGAUCGGAUUGCAUCUACGUACAUUGUAGAUCGCGAGCGGAAGCGUUCAAAGAACGGGGAUGAGGGAGUCGUACUCGACGUGAUCCAAAUCACCGGAGAUCCUAGCGCCGAACGGACGGCACCUCCGCGUUCAACAGACGUACGGUCAGCGUAACGUCUCCUUCCUCUUGAUCCAGCAAGGGGCAAGGAGAGGUUGAGGAAGAUGGCUCCAGCAGCAGCACGAUGGCGUGGUGGUGAUGGAGCUGCAGUACUCCGGCAGGGCUUCGCCAAGCUCUAUGGAGGAGGAUGUGUUGGAGAGGGAGAGGGAGGCACCAAAGGCAAAGGUAAGAGGUCCUCCAUCCUCCCCACUAUAUAUAGGGGGGCCUGGGGGGGGGGGCGCCGGCCCUAGGAGAUGCAAUCUCCUAGGGGGGCGGCGGCCAAGGGGUGGGGGACUUGCCCCCAAGCAAGGGGGCGCCCCCCCCUUUAGGGUUUCCCCCACCCUAGGCGCAUGGGCCCUAAGGGAAGUGGCGCCCCAGCCCACUUUGGGCUGGAUCCCUUCCCACUUCAGCCCAUGGGGCNNNNNNNNNNNNNNNNNNNNNNNNNNNNNNNNNNNNNNNNNNNNNNNNNNNNNNNNNNNNNNNNNNNNNNNNNNNNNNNNNNNNNNNNNNNNNNNNNNNNNNNNNNNNNNNNNNNNNNNNNNNNNNNNNNNNNNNNNNNNNNNNNNNNNNNNNNNNNNNNNNNNNNNNNNNNNNNNNNNNNNNNNNNNNNNNNNNNNNNNNNNNNNNNNNNNNNNNNNNNNNNNNNNNNNNNNNNNNNNNNNNNNNNNNNNNNNNNNNNNNNNNNNNNNNNNNNNNNNNNNNNNNNNNNNNNNNNNNNNNNNNNNNNNNNNNNNNNNNNNNNNNNNNNNNNNNNNNNNNNNNNNNNNNNNNNNNNNNNNNNNNNNNNNNNNNNNNNNNNNNNNNNNNNNNNNNNNNNNNNNNNNNNNNNNNNNNNNNNNNNNNNNNNNNNNNNNNNNNNNNNNNNNNNNNNNGGAAGAUGGCUCCAGCAGCAGCACGAUGGCGUGGUGGUGAUGGAGCUGCAGUACUCCGGCAGGGCUUCGCCAAGCUCUAUGGAGGAGGAUGUGUUGGAGAGGGAGAGGGAGGCACCAAAGGCAAAGGUAAGAGGUCCUCCAUCCUCCCCACUAUAUAUAGGGGGGCCUAGGGGGGGGGGCGCCGGCCCUAGGAGAUGCAAUCUCCUAGGGGGGCGGCGGCCAAGGGGUGGGGGACUUGCCCCCAAGCAAGGGGGCGCCCCCCCCUUUAGGGUUUCCCCCACCCUAGGCGCAUGGGCCCUAAGGGAAGUGGCGCCCCAGCCCACUUUGGGCUGGAUCCCUUCCCACUUCAGCCCAUGGGGCCCUCCGGGAUAGGUGGCCCCACCCGGUGGACCCCCGGGACCCUUCCGGUGGUCCCGGUACAAUACCGGUGACCCCGAAACUUGUCCCGAUAGCCGAAAUAGCACUUCCUAUAUAUAAUUCUUUACCUCCGGACCAUUCUGGAACUCCUCGUGAUGUCCGGGAUCUCAUCCGGGACCCCGAACAACAUUCGGGUUACUGCAUAUACAUAUCCCUAUAACCCUAGCGUCACCGAACCUUAAGUGUGUAGACCCUACAGGUUCGGGAGACAUGUAGACAUGACCGAGAUCGCUCUCCGGUCAAUAACCAACAGCGGGAUCUGGAUACCCAUGUUGGCUCCCACAUGCUCCUCGAUGAUCUCAUCGGAUGAACCACGAUGUCGAGGAUUCAAGCAACCCCGUAUACAAUUCCCUUCGUCAGUCGGUAUGUUACUUGCCCGAGAUUCGAUCGUCGGUAUCCCAAUACCUCGUUCAAUCUCGUUACCGGCAAAUCACUUUACUCUUACCGUAAUGCAUGAUCCCGUGACCAGACACUUGGUCACUUUGAGCUCAUUAUGAUGAUGCAUUACCGAGUGGGCCCAGUGAUACCUCUCCGUAAUACGGAGUGACAAAUCCCAGUCUUGAUCCGUGUCAACCCAACAGACACUUUCAGAGAUACCCGUAGUAUACCUUUAUAGUCACCCAGUUACGUUGUGACGUUUGGUACACCCAAAGCACUCCUACGGUAUCCGGGAGUUACACGAUCUCAUGGUCUAAAGGAAAAGAUACUUGACAUUGGAAAACUCUAGCAAACGAACUAUACGAUCUUGUGCUAUGUUUAGGAUUGGGUCUUGUCCAUCACAUCAUUCUCCUAAUGAUGUGAUCUCGUUAUCAAUGACAUCCAAUGUCCAUAGUCAGGAAACCAUGACUAUCUGUUGAUCAACGAGCUAGUCAACUAGAGGCUUACCGGGGACAUGUUGGUGUCUAAGUAUUCACACAUGUAUUAUGAUUUCCGGAUAACACAAUUAUAGCAUGAAUAAAAGACAAUUAUCAUGAACAAGGAAAUAUAAUAAUAAUGCUUUUAUUAUUGCCUCUAGGGCAUAUUUCCAACACUUUCCUCUACGAGGCAUCACCCUUUGUCACUCUUGCCCGCACACCUCCCCUCAAAACGAGAAGGCCGAGCACGGCAUUCGCUCCAUGAACGACAUUAUGCGCACACUCCUCCAAGCUCACAUGCCACCUUCGUUUUGGGUCGACGCCCUCAACACCACCACAUACUUACUGAAUUUCGCCCAUCCCGAGCCAUCGACCACAUCCCACCCUACUACGCCCUCUUUGGUACCUCUCCAGAUUACAGCUCCCUACGCACGUUCGUCUGCCUCUGCUACCAAAACCUCUAUGCCACUAUGCCCUACAAAUUAGCUCCCCGCUCCGUUCGCUGCAUUCUCCUCGGUAUGCCACUUGAGCAUAAAGGCUACAGGUGCCUGGACCUCUCCAAUCGAUGACUCAUUACCUCUAGACAUGUCAUUUUUUGACGAAAACACCUUCCCAUUCAUUGAUGCCCCGAGCGGCCACACGCCUGCACGAGCAGGGUCUGCUCCGGCCGCAGAAAAUCAAGCACCCACCUCCAUCCCCCUCGGAUCACCCACUCCACCAGUCACGCACCACCUCCCAUCCCCAAGCAUGCAGCCCGACCCCACCUCCCAAACCCAUGCAGUGAUUCACCCAUCACCUGCAUGCGGCGCGCCUCCCCUCGUGUCGACUCCACGCCUAGAUGCAGUAGCCCGCCACUUACGCCUCUGCAUGCAGCGCCCCUCACUCUAUGCCGCCCACGCAUGUAGUACGAUCCCACCCUGAGUCGUGCCGAUUUUACCUGCCAAAAACUUGCAUGCCAGGCGCACCUGCGCAAAGUCCAGUUUUCUGCAGCCAAAGAAGCUUCUGACCGUCGCUACCUCUCCCGCCCCCAUCUCUCCUAUUCCCGCAAACUACAAAGAAGCUCUCAAAGACCCCAACUGGUACAAUGUUAUGCUUGAAGAAUUUAACGCUUUGUUGCAAAGCAAAACGUGGUCUUUGGUUGCUUGCUCUGCAGGUGUCAACUUGGUGUCUGGGAAGUGGAUAUUCCGCCACAAGCUUCAUCUCGACGGCUCCCUCGCUCGGUACAAGGCGUGUUGGGUACUUCGUGGCUUCACAAAGCAGCCUGGCAUUGACUACGGGGAGACCUUCAGCCCCGUGUGGUGAAACCGGCCACCAUCCGCGUCAUCCUCAGUGUCGCCAUCAGUAACCGUUGGGCCAUUAACCAGCUGGACAUGAAGAACCCCUUCCUCCACGGCACUCUCGAUGAGCUCGUCUACAGUCAGCCGCCGGCUAGCUUCGUCGACACCGCACACCCCUCGACCAUGUGCAAACUCCAAAAGUCCUUGUAUGACUUAAGCAGGCUCCUCGUGCGUGGUUCCAGCGGUUCACCACAUUCCUUCUCUCGCUCGGCUUCACGGUGUCAAGAUCCGACACAUCCCUAUUUAUUCUCCGCCGUGGCACCUCAGUGGCAUACCUCUUGCUAUAUGUUGACGAUAUCAUUCUCACCGCUAGCUCCUCCGGGUUACUCACCAUCGUUACCGCCGCUCUCACCUCUGAGUUCUCCAUGGCGAACCUCAGCUCGCUCCACCACUUCCUUGGCGUCAAUGUUCAGUGCAGCCCCACUGGUUUGUUUCUUUCCGAGCAACAGUAUGCGCUCGAGAUCCUUGAUCGCGCCUCCAUGCUCAACUGCAAACCCAUCACUACCCCCGUCGACACCAAAGCAAAGCUCGCCACCUCGCCACCUCAGCUAACGACUCUGCUCCUGACCCAUCCCUCUUCCAUAGUCUCGCCGGUGCCCUGCAGUACCUCACGCUCAUGCGCCCGGACAUAGCCUACACCGUCCAGCAGGUGUGCCUCGUCAUGCACUCGCCGCGCAUGCUACACGCCGCCCUCCUCAAAUGUAUCAUGCGUUAUCUGCGUGGUACCACCCACCUUGGCCUUCAUAUUCGUCUGUCUGCUUCAUCCCAGCUCAUGUCUUACACAGACGCCGACUGGGCCGGUUGUCCCGACACCGUACCUGACGCUCGAUGUCUGGCUACUACAUGUACAUCGGUGACAACCUCGUCUCCUGGUCUUCGAAGCGACAAACCACCUUGUCGCGAUCGAGUGCGGAGGCAGAGUACCGAGCUGUCGCCAACGCGGUCACGGAGUCGUGUUGGCUACGAAGCUUCUUCAGGAUAUCGGAUGGCCUCCAUGGUGCUACCACUGUUUACUGAGACAACGUAUCGGUGACUGAAGGAAAUAUGCCCUAGAGGCAAUAAUAAAGUUAUUAUUUAUUUCCUUAUAUCAUGAUAAAUGUUUAUUAUUCAUUCUAGAAUUGUAUUAACGGAAACAUAAUACAUGUGUGAAUACAUAGACAAACAGAGUGUCACUAGUAUGCCUCUACUUGACUAGCUCGUUGAUCAAAGAUGGUUAUGUUUCCUAACCAUAGACAUGAGUUGUCAUUUGAUUAACGGGAUCACAUCAUUAGGAGAAUGAUGUGAUUGACUUGACCCAUUCCGUUAGCAUAGCACUUGAUCGUUUAGUUUGUUGUUAUUGCUUUCUUCAUGACUUAUACAUGUUCCUAUGAUUAUGAGAUUAUGCAACUCCCGUUUACCAGAGGAACACUUUGUGUGCUACCAAACGUCACAACGUAACUGGGUGAUUAUAAAGGUGCUCUACAGGUGUCUCCGAAGGUACUUGUUGGGUUGGCGUAUUUCGAGAUUAGGAUUUGUCACUCCGAUUGUCGGAGAGGUAUCUCUAGGCCCUAUCGGUAAUGCACAUCACUUAAGCCUUGCAAGCAUUGCAACUAAUGAGUUAGUUGCGGGAUGAUGUUUUACGGAACGAGUAAAGAGACUUGCCGGUAACGAGAUUGAACUAGGUAUUGAGAUACCGACGAUCGAAUCUCGGACAAGUAACAUACCGAUGACAAAGGAAAUAACGUAUGUUGUUAUGCGGUCUGACCGAUAAAGAUCUUCGUAGAAUAUGUGGGAGCCAAUAUGAGCAUCCAGGUUCCGCUAUUGGUUAUUGACCGGAGACAUGUCUCGGUCAUGUCUACAUAGUUCUCGAACCUGUAGGGUCCGCACGCUUAAAGUUUCGGUGACGAUUGUAUUAUGAGUUUAUGUGAUUUGAUGUACCGAAGGUAGUUUGGAGUCCCGGAUGAGAUCGGGGACAUGACGAGGAGUCUCAAAAUGGUCGAGACGUAAAGAUCGAUAUAUUGGACGACUAUAUUCGGACAUCGGAAAGGUUCCGAGUGAUUCGGGUAUUUUCGGGAGUACCGGGAGUUACGGGAAUACGAGGAAGAAGUAAUGGGCCUCAUGGACCAAGUGGUGGAAGAGAGGAGGCAGGGCGCGCGGCCCUCCUAGCCCAAACCGAAUUGGACUAGGGGGCCGGCCCCCCUUUCCUCCUUUUCCUCCUUCUCCUUCCUUCUCCUUCUCCUCCUUCCUUUCCUCCUCCUAGUAGGAGUAGGAAAGGGGAGUCCUACUCCUACUAGGAGGAGGACUCCUCCUCCUGGCGCGCCCAUAGAGGGCCGGUCGGCCUCCCCCCUUGCUCCUUUAUAUACAGGGGCAGGGGGGCACCUCUAGACACACAAGUUGAUCUUCGUGAUCGUUCCUUAGCCGUGUGUGGUGCCCCCUUCCACCAUAUUCCACCUCGGUCAUAUCGUAGCGGUGCUUAGGCGAAGCCCUGCGUCAGUAGAACAUCAUCACCGUCAUCACGCCGUCGUGCUGACGAAACUCUCCCUCAACACUCGGCUGGAUCGGAGCUCGAGGGACGUCACCGAGUUGAACGUGUGAGAACUCGGAGGUGCCGUACGUUCGGUACUUGGAUCGGUCGGAUCGGGAAGACGUACGACUACUUCCUCUACGUUGUGUCAACACUUCCGUUGCUGGUCUACGAGGGUACGUAGACGACACUCUCCCCUCUUAUUGCUAUGCAUCACCAUGUUCUUGCGUGUGCGUAGGAAAUUUUUUGAAAUUACUACGUUAUCCAACAAUGACGUACCUCUCCACCAACCCGGUACAACACCAACGCACCAAGCACGUGGAGAUUGAUCUUCAUUUCGUGCGCGACCGCGUUGUCUUCGGAGAUGUUCGUGUUCUGCAUGUUCCGGCAACCUCCCAGUUUGCCGACGUUUUCACCAAGGGGAUACCAACCGGCGUCUUGACAGAGUUCCGGUCCAGCCUCAAUGUCGUCGAAGACCCCGUUGCGGCUGUGGGGGGCUGCUGGAAUUGUAAAACGCCUCCUGCAUGUACAUUACCGGGUCCCUCGGCUGGACAGAUCGGCUCGCGCAAGUAGCAUGGGACACCUGCGUCUGUUACACACGAUCCCCUUCUCCGUUGCUUGUAGCUGCUGUACCUAGGCGUAUAUAUAUAACUCUGUACAAUCUGGAAUAGACACGGUGAAGAUCACCUUUCAACUGUUCGCACUGUGCGGCCAAACCUUGUUUGGCUGGGACUGACAAAUGAAAAUGAUGCACCCGAGCACAUCCAGAAGGAUCUGAACGCUCGCAGUCCAAACCAGCUUAUCGGCAUUGGUACAGAGUUGAGGCAAAACCGAGCAGUGAAGCAAGCUCCAGCAUUUUCAACAUGAAGGAAACGAAAAAGACGAAACAGGCUCCAACAUUCUCGUCAAAAAAGAUAAGAAAAGGAAAAAAGAAACAGGCUCCAGCAUUCUUGACACAAAAGAAAUGAAGAAGGAAAACGAAACAGGCUCAGGCAUUCUUGACACAAAAGAAAAGAAAAAGGAAAAGGAGAAAGGCUCCAAUAUUCUUGACAAAAUAGAGAAGCAAAAGAAAAAGGAAUCAGGCACAAGCAUCCUCGACACAGAAGAAAAGAAAAGGGAAAAGGAAAUUGGAUCCAGCAUUCUCGAUAAAAAGGAAGAGAAACAGGAAACAGGUUCAACCAUUCUCGACAAAAAGGAAAAGAAAAAGAAAACAGGCUCCGACAUUUUGGACAAAAGAGAAAAGAACAAGGAAACGAAAACAGGCUCCAGCAUUGAUCUCGACAAGAAAGAAAAGAAAAAAAUUUGAAAAGCAAGCUCCGUCAGAACGGUAACAGUAGCACCAAUGCUAAAGAAGAGCAAAUUGAACAGUAGCACCAAGGUGAAGGAAGCUCAAGACCGAUGAGAUGUCCUGGUUUCUAUAUAUCCAAUUAAUAUACCAUAUUUUAAUUAUUGUAACAAUAUGAUUGUAUUUUUUGUGAUGUAAUGAGUCGUUUGAUUCGAACCUCUGUUUGUUCAGUUUCUGCUUGCUGCUGUUGUAAUCACAAACCGUCAUGUCAAAUAAAUGGAGUGAAUAGCAAAAAACUACCAUAUUACGGGCUAUCGUUCCGGAAAACUAUCGCUUGUUUUAAUUUUUCAAAAAACUACCACAAAAGUGGCUGGCUGUUCCAAAAAACCCAAGUGGCCGAACGGUUAAGUUUUAACUGGGGUUAUGACAUGUGGGGCCCGCCCGUCAGGGUUUUGUCGGCCACAGUGCUCACGGCGCGCGGGUGACGGCCGUUAGGGCGCACGGCCCGUCCCGACGAGGUCAAAAUGGAUCCGGCCCUCACUCUGUCUCCCUCUCGCUCACUCACUCUCUCCCCCCUCACUCUCACUCUCCCCCCUCGCUCUGUUUCCCCUGGCCGAGCUCUCCAUCGUCGCUGACCACCUCAGUUCCUCGUCGCCGGCCAGGAUGCCUUCUUGGAAUGAUGGGGAUGAGAGCUCCGACGAUAGCAUGGGGGGCAACCUGAUGGACAUGGAGUACUUUGUAAGCCUCAUCGUCCUCCUCUCUGUCAUUAUCUAGGGUUAGGGUUGAAUCGAUUUGGGAAUGAGGGUUGAUGAGCUGUAUAUUUGUAUGCAUGGAUUCAUUUGGUUUGGUUAUCUAUUAGUUUUGAUCUAGGGUAUGGAUGGCACUGUGAUGUCUGAUCUGACCUUGAGCAAGGCAAAGCUUGACUCAAGUUGAACUAGUUGAUGCAUUGGUUCUGAUCUACCUUUUACUGCAUGUAGGACACACCUGACACCAUCCCUGAGCCACUCUGGUGUGGUGCUCCCAUGGAGGAAGUUGCCAAGUGUACUCUGCAUGAUAUGAAGCCUAGGAAGUGUGUUGCUUUUGAAGGUGCUAAGACUGGGAGGAGGUUCUAUGGAUGCCCUGUUCAGGUGAGUAAUUGAGUAUCCUGGGUGGAUUCAGUUAUGCCUAGUGGAUUCAGUUAUUCCUAGUGGUUACUGAAUUUGUACAUUAACUCUAUUUGAACUGAAUUUAGUACUGAAUUUAUGGUUACAUGUCCUCCUUGUGUACCAACCCUCUUUUUGAAUUGAAGUUAGAACUGAAUUUCUGCAUUUUCUGAAGUAUGUGUUCUCUGAUCAAACUACAGGGAGGUGUGAAUUGUGGUGUAGUUCAGUGGGUUGAUCCUGCCUGGCCUGAUGUACUUAAGAACUGCCUCAUCAAGUUGUGGGAAAUGUUCCAUGAGCAAAACCUUGGAAGGUUUCAAGACAAGCAUGCAUAUGAGGAUGAGGUUGCCAAGUUGAAGAAGGACUAUGAUCUGCUCUGCACUGAGUAUCAUAAAAUGGUUGAUGAUGUUAGCAAGAUGUUUGACUGGCAUGAUGGUGUUGGCAAGAUUGACUACCAAAAAGCAAUGGAUGCUGGGAAAUUUGAGAAGCAGAAGGAAGAGCUAGAGCUGGAGAUGAAGAUGGAGAAGCUAAGGCUAGCAAAAGAACAGAGGUGUAUCCUUCAGGCCCAGGCAGACAUAAUUCACAACACCAGGAAGGCAAUGAAAGAGAUAAAGGUGGACAGGGAUCUUUUUGCACAAGAGAAGACAAAGCUUGAGAAAGUAGUUGCUGAUCUGCUAAAUGCUGGCCAUGGGAGCAAGGAAAAGCUUGAGAAAAUCAAGGCCAUACUGGAGGCUUGAAGAUUUGGACAAUGGUGGUUAAGUAAGUAAGGUGGCCUACACAUAUAACAGGCCUUGCAAGAUGAUGGUAGGAGUAUAUUUUGUGCAGUCCUAUAUGAACUAUUUAAGUUAUGGUAACUAGAGUGGUGGAGAACCUUUGCUAAGUCUGGCUUAUGUUAUUGUACUGUUAAGAACCUAUCUAUCUUAAGUAAUGCAGUGAAGAACUGUUUUAUUUCUUUAGGUUGUUUUCCUGAAAGUAGCAAUGCUGAACUAGUAUAUUUUUGGGCCUAAAACCAUUAUGUACACAUUGUGGGCCUAGACUGGGCUGUUUUAUUACUCCACCUACCUACCACCAACCAUUAGUAGUCUAUAAAGCCCACCCCUUGAGUGAAACCGCAGUCAAUCCCCCCAUCCCCACCCUUCUCAACCCCCCAGCCGCCAAAGAAACCCUAGAAUCCAAGGGAGAGAUGGAUCCUGGAGAGGUCAUAGAUGGAGAAGAAGAGGUGCCCAGACAAGCCAGGCGCAGAGAUGCAAGGAGGAGGGCGAGAAGGCAACUUGCUGAGAUGAUCCUUGCAACACGCAACCGCAAGGACAUAAAGCAGUUCCUGGAGGCAUUCCCCCCUGGUUCCAACCCUAGUGAUGAUGAUAUCAUCUACUGGGCAAGGAGGAGGGCAAAUUUCCAUCCCUUUUAGGUCACUAGGCAAAGGUGGACUAGGAUUUUGUACCCAUGAUGCUGCUGUUAUGUUUCUUUGUUCCUAGAUCUGUCUUUCUAUCUAUGUGAUGUUUGAAGUUGGUGUAAGAACAAUGUUGAAUGAGCUAUGUAUGUGACGAAUCAAGUUGUCCAUGAUGCAAUGCAAUGUAUGAAGCUGGUGAAAGAAAAAUGUUGAAUGAUCUAUCUAUGUGAUGAAUCAAUCUGUCUAUGAUGCAAUUUAUGAGUGAAUCUUUUAUCUAUAUUUGUAUGUAUGAAUGAAUUGAUCUGGUGAUCUUGAUGUUUUAAGUUAGAUAUGUUAUGGUUUGUUCAGAUGGCCAUAUCUUGUUGUUUUAGGUUUGAUCUCUUAGGGUUUGGUGCCUAGAUGGGAAAAUCUUGAUGUUUUAGCUUUGAUAUGUUAGGUUUUGGUCCUAGAUAGCCACUUUGGGGUUGGUCAACAAGUAGCCACCCAAAGUGGCCAAAUUUGGGUGGCUUUAGGGUUGGUCGACAAGUUCCACCCCAAAGUGGCCAAAUGUGGCCACUUUGGGGUUGGUCGACAAGUAGCCCCCCAAAGUGACCAAAUUGACCUAAUCAUAUCAAUCAAUUAUCAACAAAAUAAAUCACUUGAUCUACAUAACAAUGCUCAGCAUAAGAAAUAAUUUCAUAUGAAACAAUUCAUAACCUAGGACAUAUCAAAUCAAAAUAAAGCUUGACAACAGAUAACUUAAUUGUUCCAAGCAGUUCAAACACAGACCAUAUAACUUAAUUGUUCCAAGCAGUUCAUACAUAGACCACAUAACUUAAUUGUUCAAAUGAAAAAAAAGUUCACUGCAAAUAACACAGAUAGCAAGCAUGCCUAGCAAGUAGAGUUCAAGGCAUAAAGCAUAGUUGAGUGCAACACAUUCAAUGGUUGCCACUGGCUGUGAAAUACAAAGCAAGUUUGCUUGGGGCCUUCCUCUUCCUCUUAGAACCAACAUCAGCUUGACCUGAUGUUGAUGCUGCCCUUGGAGCAUUGAAACCUCUUGCACUUGACCUGGUGUUCUUUACUGGAGAUGAUGCACUUGACCUGGUGUUGUUGGCUGGUGCUGAAGCAGGUGGUGGGUUCUUUCUCUUUCUUGAUCCACCUGUUGAAACUGCAGUAGAUGUGGUUGCCCUUGUUGUAGCAGAUGUGGUUGACCUUGUUGAAGUUGUUGCUAGUUUCCUGCCCCUAAGUGGUCCUAAAGCUGGAGCUGGACCUGAAGCUGGAGCUGGACUUGAAGCUGGAGCUGGACCUGAUGAUGUGGCCUGGUGGUUGUUUUUCCUUGUCAUAAACUUGGCCUUAAGUCCGUCUCCAUAGAUUGUCCACCUGUGGCCUUGCAGACCACAGUUACUGCAUGUUAUUGUGCCCAUCCUUGAUGUAUCCUUUGGAGCUGGCACCUCAAAUUCACCCUUUCUCCUAGCUGUCUGCUUCUUGCCUUUCUUCUCCCUGAAAACUGGUGGUUCUAUGUCUGGUGUGUUGGUGUUGGGCCAGAAUUCAGGGCCAGGGACAGGGUAGAUGAUGUGCUGGUAUGCAGCCUUAUACAUUGGCUUCUUAAAGAAUGGAUGCACAUAAUCUUCUGGGUGAACUUUUAUCUUCUGCAUUGCAGAUAUUGCAUGGUGGCAAGGUGAUCCAGUCAUGUCCCACCUCCUGCAAGAGCAGCUCCCUACAUCAAGCUUCACACAAUAUGUGUUCUCUCCACUAGUUACUUGCCAGAUGUUGGGACCAGCCAUGUUUGCUUCACAGUAUUUAGCCCACUUCUUGCUCUCCUCAAGCUUCUCCAUGUAAUCUGGGGUUAUUUCCCACCUACAGCUCUCUGUUUUCUCUCUGAUGCCCUGGUACUUAACCAUUAGUUUGGUCCUCAACCCUUCAAACAUGGUCUUAAUUAGUUUUGACCUAACAUCUAGAAUCAUUUUUUUGAAAACCUCACUAAGGUUGUUCACUACCAAGUCAGUCUUGCACACAUGAUCCAUUGCAUAUCUAGCCCAACACUCCUUAGGGAUGCCAUUCAACCACAUGUAGGCUGGUUCACAUGCUGCUUUCAAACCUGCCAUUCCUUCUUUGUGACCAUGUUUAGUGAAGGAAUAGCUAGCUUUGUCAACCCAUUUCUUAAGUUCUUCUGCUCUAAAGCCAGCUGACUGGAAGUUGGCAUAUAUGUGUCUUAGGCAAUAUCUUUGUGGGGAUUGAGGAAAUACUUCAUUAAUUGCUUUAAGAAGGCCCUGUUGUUUGAUUACAUAAGGUAGUAAUGAGAUAACUAUAGCAGCAUUGCUAUGUGCAUAAGAAUAAUACAGAGCCAGAGAAAAUACCUUCUGCCUGUCAGACAUGAUGGUGUAGUUUCCAAACUGGUUGCUGGUGCCAAUGCAGACUCUAAGUUGGUUUAAAAACCAGGUCCAGCUAGGCCCAUCCUCUUUGUCAACCACCCCAAAAGCAAUUGGGAACACAUUGUUGUUCCCAUCUCUCCCAGUUGCUACCAAUAUCUGUUGGCCUGUGGAUAACUUGAUGAAGCAACCAUCAAGUCUUGCAUAAACAGAGAUAGUUAGGGCAAAAUUGAAUAACUUGAUUACAUUUGUAACAUGAUUAAAUCACUGAUUUGUACCUAUGAAAGGCCUACAACCAGCAAGAAAUCCAUCUUUUGAUGCCUGGAGGCAAUAGAACAUGUACUUGAACCUUGGUGUGGGGGCUGGGUUCAAAGGAUCCUCAAAAGUUGUCACUAUGCACCUGCUUCCAGGGUUUGUGUCAAGCACACAUUGUAGGUAGUCCCUCAACCUCAGAUACUGCUUUCUAUGAUCACCUUGCACAACAUCAACAGCCAUCAGUCUUGCCCUAUAUGCCAAACUCCUAGGUACAUGCACCCCAAACUUCUUCUUAGUAUGUUUGAGAACUGUCUCUACAUCAGCCUUUACAUUUGAUCUAACUGUGUCCUCCACAGCUUCUGCAACCCAUUCAGCAGUAACCUUUGUACUCUCUCCACAAGCUCCACAACUAUGAUCCAUGUGGCACUUCUUGAUUGUGAAUGUAUCUUCAUGGGCUACUUUGGAUGCAGUCAUGAAAAAAUCACAUCCAUUCUUCCUCUCUGGGCACCAAACAAUAACCCUUGAUGGUUCAUUCCUAUGGUACUGAAAGUUUCUCAAAGUCCUAACAUGAAAAUUUCUCAAUGCCUUUCUAAACUCAUACACAUUGGUGAAGCAAAGGUCCUUGCACAGCUGCUCAUGUGCAUCAGGUACCUUUGGGUCAUACCAUUUCCUCUCUUUCUUCUUCUUCAAUCUUCUCUUCCUUCCAGAAGGUAGUCUUGGAGUCUCCCCAUCUGAGUCAGAAAUGCCCAUAUCACCAGGGAAGCAAUACUCAUCAGCUUCAAGUACAAAAUCUUGAAACUUUGGGAUCUCUGGCUGACUGUGAGCUCUGGAAGUUGGACCUGGAUUUGCUACUGCUCUUCUCACAGGCUUGAGUUUCUCAGGCCUGCAUUUUUCCACAACUAUUUCCUCUCCACUGUCUGCCUCUUUCUCCUCCUGCCAAAACUCUGAAACAUCACUGUCACCUUCAAACUGUGGUCUGUCUUCUAUAGCAUCUCUUUCUUCUUCAUUUCCAAUAUUUUCUUCACCUCUCUUCCAAGCCUUGUAAGACAUCUUUAUCCCUCUAUAGUCACCCCUAUCAAUCUCAAAGUCUGAGGAUGAUUUGUCAAUAUCAUCAUCCUCUUGACCAGCAGCCUGUCCAUCAUCAUCUCCACCAUUAGCUUCUGAAAUGUUGAAGUUACAGCUUUGCUGUGUGUUCAAAUUAACUUCAAGAGGGUGGACCACUCCAUCUUGUGACAGACUUAACACAAAACCAGGACCCCCCAGUGGGUUGCCUAUUGGAAUUUGUUCUUCACAAACAUUGUGAGCCCUGUUACAUUCAACAUCUCUAUCUUCAUUUGCCUUGGAAACAAUGAUAUUGAGCACUGUGAAAUCUAAGUGGUCUAUCAUUUCUUCAACUGCAUCUUGACUGUCCAAAAGAAAUAAACCUUCCUGUCCAAUCCCUUGUUCUUUUACCCAGUACAUGUAGUCAUCUGACCCAUAGCCUUCAGUCUCAGUAAGUGCUAUCAAGUUCAGAAAUGUGAUGUCUGAAACAGAAAACCUCCUUUCCAUAUUAUCUCUGCCCUGGAAAUGCAGCCUAACAUCCCAAACUUCAUCAUCUAGCCUGCAUUACAUAAUAUGUUAUUUGAAAAGCCCAACUAAGUAAGUGUUUUUGCUACAAAUAUUCAGUGCACACUACUAUAAAGUACAGUAAGGAAUCUGAAUCCAAAAAAUGCUUCUCUGAAUCCACCAUGCAUUUCUACUAAAUCUAACUAAUCCUUCAGUGCUAAGUGAUACUGUUGCAUCCAAAACAUGCCACAGAGUGUUUGCUCAACUAUUAUUCAGUGCAUGUUCAUGUUCUAAGAUGAAUCACAGCAGCAUCAACCUAGGGUUUGGUCAAAAAACUAACUAAAUUAUGCUAUGUUAUUUGAAAUGAACAAGCAGAAAUGCAGAAACUGUUGAAGGAGCUCAUAAGAGGAAAAAAACUUACUCCACCCCUCCAAAUGCAGAGGCCCAGUGCUGGGAGUUGGCCGGAUCUGCCUGCACAGCCCUAUCAAGAGACCUCGCUGCUCUGUACUCAAGCGAGAACUGGCAAUCAUCAGGCGACGGUGGUGUAGCCUGUGUCGUAGGAGCCUGCAUCAGAGCUGCAGCCUGUGGUGUCCGCUGCGGCGGCGGCGGCGCCGCCGGCUAGGUUGCGAAGCUACCACUCCCCAGCCAGUUAUCAACCUCUAAGAACUCGCCGCCUCCAUCCCCCCUUCCACCUCCACCCGUUGAAUGGCCGCCAUCGCCUAGUUUCGCCGCCGCCGCCGCCAUCGGAGAGGGAGGCGCGCACAAGAGAGAGGGAGACAGAGAGGGGGAAGACAGAGUGAGGGCGGGCCGGAUCCAUUUGACUUGGUCGGGACGGCCCGUGUGCCCUAACGGCCGUCACCCGCGCGCCGUGAGCACUGUGGCCGACAAAACCCUGACGGGCGGGCCCCACAUGUCAUAACCCCAGUUAAAACUUAACCGUUCGGCCACUUGGGUUUUUUGGAACAGCCAGCCACUUUUGUGGUAGUUUUUUGAAAAAUUAAAAAAAGCGGUAGUUUUCCGGAACGAUAGCCUGUAAUGUGGUAGUUUUUUGCUAUUUACUCCAAAUAAAUGCUUAAAAAGAGUGCAUCUAAUGGAGUAGUACAAAAUGGUAAAGAAAAUAAAUCAGCCACUAAUGGAGUAACAAAGGUGAUAGCACGGAGUUUGGUAGGCACCGACAAUGAGUAAGCAGGCUGAGGCCACCGGUGCACGAAGAGGAUCAGAAGCGCUGGUUGGGGCUGUGGUUUGGGGCGGCUGCGAUGAAACUUCUUAUUCAACGCUUAUAGCACCGUUUACAGUGUUAUCGGUACCUUUUUUUUGAGGGAAAGAGCCAACUUUAUUAAUCAAAAUCCACAGUGCGUGGGACACAACGAUGGUCAUGGGGCUGGCCAAGCCACACAUGACGCCCUGGUGGUAGCGAUAAAGAAAACCUAGCUAUCUCGUGAGCUUCAGCAUUCUGAGCUCGACUCUCAAAGGUGAAAUUACAUAAAAGUGGUGAUGAGCUCAUCUUUAUCUCUCUGAUUAUAGCUCCAUAAGUGCCAUGACUACCCAUAGCAAUGUCGCCAAUGACUUGUUUGCAGUCCGAAGCCACCACAAAACGUUGCACAUUAAGAUCUUGUGCUAGGGAAAUAGCCUCCCGACAUGCUAUGGCCUCCAGUGUCGCGGGGUCGCAAACUCCGACAAUGACAAGUGAUGAGCUCCCCAUAUAGACACCCUGGCUGUCACUGCAUAUGGCCGCGGCCGUGCCACCCCUCUGAAAUCUUACUGCCACGUCAACAUGAACCUUAGCAUAGCCAGCAGGUGGAGCCUUCAGCCUCUGAGUAGAAGCGUGGCCAGUAGCUGCAGAACGUACGUUGAUCUUUGCAGGGAGUGAGGCAGUAGCCAAAUCAGCCAUGAAGCGAGUUAUAAACUCCUUCGUCGCCCUGGGUGAUUGGAAUAUUGAUUCAUGGAUAGCUUUUCUCCUCGAGGUCCAGAUCGCCCAUAAGGUGACCGCCAGCAGAGUGAACUUCUCAUGUGUUAGCAUAUCCAUUAAUCCAAAGAGCCAGCUCUUCGCCCUCGUCUCCGUUGAUGCGACCAGACUGCAGCCCAAGUCCUCAUCUACCAACGCCCAUAUGCAUCUGGAGACUGUGCACUCCAGGAGGGAAUGACUCCAUGAAUCAGGAGAACCGCAGAGGCCGCACGAGCUAGUCGUUGACAUAUUACGAUGGGCCCUCACAUCCUCCGUCGGUAGUGACUGUUUUGAUAAACGCCAUAGAAACAUGCGUACUUUUGCUGGUACCACAGUUUUCCAGAGGGACUUCCAAGAGGCUUCAUCGACAUGGUUGCUGGAUGAUGCGCCGGAGCCCUCUAGCCACGCCUCUCGCCGUUGCUUCAUAGAUACCAACAUAUUAUAGGCUGACCUGACUGUGAAUUGUCCGGUUCUCUCGUGCAUCCAGCUCCAAAAGUCCUGCAUAGGAGCCGUACACAACGGGAUACCCAUGAUGAUUUUAGCAUCGAAAGGCAAGAAAGUUGCUUCCACCACAGAUCUCUUCCAUGAAGCAUUAGUUGCAUCGAUCAGUUCAGAUACUGUGUUGGGAGGAUUACUUACGCAACAACCAUACGGUCUCAUCAUCUCUGACCGGGGAAGCCAGUUUUCGGUCCAAAUGCUGGUGCUCGCCCCAUCUCCUAUCCGCUUGAUCAGUCCCAAUUUAAGAAUAUCCCGGCCUUCCACUAUGGCUCUCCAUAUCUGACUUGGAUGGUUCCCAAGUGUUGCCUCAAGUAUAGAUGUAUGUGGAAAAUAUACGCUCUUCAGAAUCCGUGCACUCAGAGACUCGGGGUCUUGUAACAUUCUCCAUGCCUGCCUGGCUAACAUGGCAAGAUUGAAAAGCUCAAAAUCUUUGAAUCCAAGGCCUCCCAUGCUUUUUGGUUGUGUCAUUGCUUCCCAAGAGACCCAGUGAGGUUUGCGUUGGCCGUUUGAGCUCCCCCACCAAAAUUUCCUUAUUAGCAUAUUGAGGUGCUCACAUAACCCCCUAGGUAGUUUGAAACAAGACAUGGAAAAUACCGGCACUGACUGGGCAACAGAUUUGACUAGUACCUCUUUUCCUGCCGCCGACAAAGUUCUCUCUAUCCAUCCCUGAAUUUUGCUCCAUAAUCUGUCCUUCAAAUAUUUGAAGGCACCGUUUUUUGAACUCCCUAUAUCAGAUGGCAUGCCCAGAUACUUCUCAUUCAAGGUUUCCUUGGGGACAUUGAACAUACCUUUUAUAGCAUUGCGAGUUUCCUCAGAAACGCCUUUACUAAAGAAAAUUGAGGAUUUGUUGUAGUUGAUUCUUUGACCUGAAGCUUGGCUAUAAAUUUCCAACAACUGGUUAACCUCUGUAGCACCCGCACUGUUGGCCUUGAAGAACAGCAGGCUGUCAUCAGCGAAUAGAAGAUGGUUAACUAGUGGUGCCUGCAGCGCCACCUGAAUCCCACCCAAGUUUGAUGACUCACUUUGUGAUUUGAAAAGGCACGACAUGCCCUCUGCUGCUAACAAGAACAAGUACGGUGAUAUUGGGUCACCUUGUCGGAUUCCACGUGAUGGGUUGAACUCCUCAAGUUUCUUUCCAUUGAACAUGACUGCGAAUUUUACUGAGGUAACCAUGCCCAUUACAAUAUCCACCCACCUUCUGUUAAAACCCAAUAUAAUCAUGAUGGCUUAGAGAUAAGCCCAUUCAACUCGAUCAUACGCCUUCAUCAUAUCCAAUUUCAGAGCACAUGAGUGAUUUUUCUUUUCCUUGUUCCUCUUCAUGAAAUGCAAUCACUCAUAUGCCGUUAUUAUGUUGUCUGUGAUCAAUCUCCCCGGAACAAAGGCUGAUUGUUCAGCAGAAAUUAUAUCUGGCAGUAUCUGUUUGAGUCUGUUGGAGAUUACCUUGGACGCUAUUUUAUAGAGCACGUUACAUAAACUUAUGGGCCGAAACUGGGCAAGGAGUGUGGGGUUUUUGACCUUGGGGAUGAGAACCAGCACCGUAUUGUUAAUGCAUGCUGCUGACUCUGUCCCGUCCACAAUUUUGAGUACCACUUUCGUUACAUCUGCACCGCAUACAUCCCAGUGGCGCUGAAAGAAGUGAGCGGGGAAUCCAUCCGGGCCAGGGGCUUUGAUUGGAAACAUUUGGAACAACACACUUUUCACUUCAUCGUGUGUGUAAGGAGCAUUCAGACGAUCGUUCAUUGCCUGCGUUACUUUAGUAGAUACUGACUCCAGUACCCUAUCCAUGCCCUGUACUCCCUCGGUUGUGUAUAAGUUUUUGUAAAAUUCGGUGGUAAGCUCCUCCAUCUCCUCCCUGUCCUCGGUCAGCUAUCCAUCCGAUCGCUGCAACAAUUUUAUCUGGUUCUUCCGGCGGCGGCGGCUCGCUCGCAGGUGAAAAGAAUAAGUGUUUUUGUCACCAUGGACCAGCCAAUCCAGUCGAGCGCGUUGGCGCCACAUCAAUUCCUCUCUAUCAAACAGUUCGACCAGUCUGUCAGCUAUCUUGGUUUCAGUGUUUGUCGGUCCCGUCCGUCCUGGCGCUGAACGCAUGACCUCAAGCUGGCGUUGGAGUUGGCGAAUCUCCAUACGCACCGAUCCGAAGUUGUUGCGGUCCCACGCUGACAAAUCUCCCGCCAGGUUCCCUAGUUUUGCAUGUAUGCCCUCAACCGAUUCUCCAUCCUGCAGACUCCAGCUAUCACGCACAGUGUCAAACAGUGUUUCGUCCCUUUCCCACAUCGUCUCAUAUUUAAAAGCCUUGUGGCCCAUUUUGCAUGCAUGCAACUCACGUAGCUGAAGAAGAAUAGGAAUGUGAUCUGAACUAGCAGCACUUUUGUGCGAUAGCUGUGAUGAUGCGAGGGCGAGAGUCCAUUCUGUAUUUACCAGGCACCUGUCCAGCCUAACCUGGGUGUAGGUGCCUCCUGUGACCCUUUUUUCAAAUGUCCAACUAGUGCCAGAGUAUCCAAUAUCUGAUAACCCACAUGUAUCAACUGCUUCCCUGAAUGCUUCUAUUUGGGCUUGGCUUCGUUGUCCCACACCAUCAUGUUCAUGGCUGUGAAGAACCUCAUUAAAAUCUUCCAUGACUGCCCACGGUCUGUUCUGCGUCUCAGCAAUACCGCGCAGGGUGUCCCAUGUUUUGUAUCUCUCUGGUACCUGGGCUUCGCCAUAGACAAAGGUAAUUCUUACCUGCAAAUCAACUAAGUCAUCAACAAGAAUAUCAAUGUGAUACUUUGAGUAAUCGAUAACUUCCACUUUUAUUUCAUCGUUCCAAAAAAUUCCAAGUCCACCACUUCUACCGGAACUACUAACUGCAAAGCUUUUAUUGUAGCCUAUGCUAUCAGCCAUACUCUCAACCCUCUUUCCCUCUAUUUGAGUUUCAAGAAUACAAACAAUAGAGGGGGCAAACUGCCUCGCUAGAUCGUGAAGCUCUCUAACUGUCGCGGCUUUGCCAAUCCCGCGAAAGUUCCAGCAAAGAAGACUCAUUGCGCUAGGCGCGGCCCCGCUUCGGAGCCCGCCACAUGCGCAUCAGGGUUUUUGGUAGAAACUGUGCUCUUCUCCAGAGCUGACUCAUUAGACGAGGUUGACUUCAAUCUUUUCAGAUCCUGCUUGGGAGGAGGGCUAAGGGGCACCGCAGGUGAUGGCAGAAACAGUUGCUUCGUCUGUUGUACCGAAUAGGUUGGGAACGUGGUUUUUGGAUCAUGUGCCCCUCUCUUCCUGUUGCGAUCAACCUCAGUCAUUGCUACAUCUCCGUCUCGCUGAUCACGUUCCUGGUGAUGUUGAUCAUCAAACGAGUCUGCACUAUUGGGCGAUCGUCCUCUUCCUCUUCCCCCACGGCCUCUGCCGCGACCUCUCCCUGCAUUGCUGCUCUCGCCUUGAUAUCUUUGAAGACCAGAGUCUUUGGGGCAUGAACCCCGUCCCCGCACUCUUUGUGUUGGUGACCUAGAUGUCCACAAACUGCACACCAGUCCGGCAGUCUUUCAUAUUUGACUCUAAAGAUGACUCGUUCCACCGAAUCCUUUUUCCUUAUUACCAGUGAAACAACGUUCUUCAAAGGUUUAGUGACAUCGAUCCUGACUCAAACUCUAGCAAAGUUACCUUCAAAAUCCGGGGAUCUAGGCUCUGCAUAUAUGAAUUCUCCCAUAGUAGCAGACAUAGCUUUGACCUUAGAAAAGAAGCCAUCGGGCAGGUCGUGAAUCUGGAUCCAAAUUUCCAAUUUGUUGAGCUCUAUAGACGACGGCUUUGUGAAGCCAUCAUACUCUGCCAGAACUACUGCUUUCCCCUUGAAAUUCCAGGGGCCAUCUCCCAUAACCCUCUCCCAGUCACCCAGGCACGAGAAUUGCAUUGAGUACAGAUUAUCUUCCAGUGGUCUGAUCUUUACCUCUUGAGCUAGGUCCCAGGCCACUCUCAUAUUCCUAUAAAACCAAUAUUGGCUGUAUGUUUUCUCCGUGUGAACCCUAGCCAACGCCAUCCAGCGUGUUUCUUCCUUCGGCAGCUCGGUGUCUUCCACCACAACAUCAAUCAGAUCAUCUUCUUUCAGUCCAAGUUCCUCCAUCAUCGCAGCCAGAUUGGACGCAGUUGUACUUGAUCCAGAUGCAGUCGAACUCAUCAUGCGCUCGCUCGAGGUUAGGGUUCCGCGAGCGGUAGGUCCCAAGGAGUCACCACCCGCCCAGAACGCCGCGGCGGCCGAAGGCCACAGCGAUCGCCGGAAGGGGGUUAACAUCCGGGGAGGAAAAGUCCCUACGGUGUCGGCGUCGCCGUCGCUCGAGGGAAGAGAAAAACCCUAACGAGAGGGGAAACUUAGGAGGGAGAUUAGUGUUAUCGGUACCUGCCGCCCACACUACUUUAGAUAGCUAAUUGUAACUGGGCUGGCCCAUAUGUGUGAGCCCUCCUCCAUUACCGGUUGUGAAGGAAUUUCCUAUUCAACGCUUAUACCAUUUGUUAUAGUGUUUUCCUUUUGUUACAGUGUUAUCCGGGGACCUCCUACUUGGUCACCUGCGCGCAAAGUAGGAGGGAACGUGCACCCUUGGCUCCCAUGUAAGAGUUUUUCCCGCCCUAUUUUUAUUAUUUCAUUUUUAUGCCUUUUGUUUUUUCAUUUCUGUUUGUGUUUUUCUUCUUUAAAUAAUGUGUGGUUAAAAAAAUUCCCAAUUUCAAAACAAUACCAAAAUUGUUUGACAAAUCAGGAAAUAUUUGUGAAUUAAAAAUUGUUGAUGACUCUUCACUUCAGUGUCUCGACCCACCGGAACAAAAGCCGUGUGUACAAAUUGUGUUCGAAGCUUAUCGUAAACUGGCUUAGCAAGUGUAGUCUUGCCAAGUCUGCCUGGUCCAACAAUUGAGACCAUCUUCAUCUUGUGCUGCUGUUGCUUGAGACCAUGUGUGAGCCUCUUGGUUAGCUUGUUCCAUGCAUCUUCAAUGCCAACGAGCUCUUUCUGAUCAUUGUACAAAGCCAAUACACGAGGGUCAACCUUCUGUUUGCUAGCUGGAUUAGGAACAUCAUUGACCCUGUAUCUGGCACGCCGGCCAGCCAUCUCUUGAGAGCGGUUCUUGAUGUACCUGAUUGCAUCUCCGAUCUGAUGGCGAGUCUUGCCUUUUGUGAACAAGUUGGCCAUCUUCCCUACCUAUCAUUUGAUCAUGUUUGAGUUGGGGACGGCAUCAGAUUCAUAUCCCUCGACGGACACUAGGAAGUUAUCGAUGACAUCCUCCAUGUCAUACGACAGCUCCCUUUUAGGGAUUCAUGUCCCUUGGAAUCUCCGCCACCUUUACGAGGGCAGCGUUCAAGCUCUUCAUGUCCCUCUGGAGGGACUCGACGUACCGAAUAAAUGGGAGUUAGAGGACAGGAAUCUGUUGUAGGAAAGACAAAGGAAAUUGUUCUCCAUCGCCGUCCGGUUCCACUGGGAAAAAAUUACAUCCACUGCAACACCAAGACCGCAUGCUUACCGAGUAGUAGUAGAAGCAGCAGAGCUGAGUAAGGCACCCACUACCGAAUGCAGGGAUAAAUCCAGCACCAAGUAAGCAGCUCACAAGUGAGAGACGGCAUGCGCUUUGCGAACGGAAGGACAGGAGCAGAAAACAUUUUGGGAGAAAGAUCGACGUGGCUCAGAAAAUUGAAGGCGGUCUACUCCUCCUGAUUGAAGCCGGCGACUACACAAGCGCCAUGGUUUGAUGGAGCAAGAGAAAUGGUGUUGAACCCCCAACUCGUUCCAUUUCUAGCAGAAAAGUAGGGCAAUAAUUGAGUGGUGGUAUGUUAUUAGUGCUGGUAAUGGAGUAGGAAGCACCCUAGAAGUGCACCAACUAGUACAUCAAAAUACUCCUGCCAGUGGCGGUGGUAGAUCAUUCAUGUGUACUACUCGAUCGUAACAAGAACAAUUACAUGAACCAGCUUGUGCCACUAGUAAUAAUAUUUAGCUUAUUUUUACAUUAAGUUUUGCAAUGAAUAAUAUUUAGGUUAUUAAAAAGACUAUAGUUUAAUGGAUGGCCCAGAUUUGGAAAUAUUACUGCAGAUUUUUGGUAGUAAUAGACUUGCUUCACUUGUCGAUUUAUAUGAUCUGUCGCUUUCAGCGACGUUUGGGGCUGUGAUUUGGGUUUGUUGUCAUUGAAAUUGCACAACUAUAGAAACUGGAUUCUUUUUUAUUAUUAUAGUGAGCACAAGGAAUCAUGUUACUAGUUGAAUUCAUAGAAAAAGACUCCAUUCAGACUCUGUCCUGCUCCAUGAAAAUAUCCUAUCAGAUAGACGCAGAGCGGUACAUAUACAGACUCAGGUUUCUUGAAAUCUAAUGCAACCAAGUCUUGUACAAUGGUCACAUGUUAUGUGACCUGAACCAAUUAUGGGUUUGCACUUGAUAAUUCCCGCACGAACCACAUGUAAACAUGGUUCGAAGGCUUGAAUAACAAUGUAAAAUUGAUGUCAAGUUUUCCCGACUUGAUUCCUGUCUAGGUUGGAGUCAUCAGUCUACUUGAAGCACUCGUUUUUCUCAUCUACGUUGGAGGACUGAUUGGAGCAUGAAUUAGUUGAGGAGAUAGAAACCCAUUUUUGGCGAGGGAGAGGACAGAAACCCAUGACACAACAAGGUUUUCAUGAUCAUCAUUGGCUAACUUCAAAGUUCCAACAGAGUGCCAACUACCAAGUGAGUAGCAGUACAAGGCACUGUUCAGCUGAAUCAAUCUUUACAACAUUAACCUAUCAUUCACUGGCGUUUCAUACCCAGAAUUGACUCUUAUAACAGUACAGAAGCAAACCCCUACUUCGAGUCAGUGUUGCUCUGUACUUUUUUUAACGGAGGUUAUAACUACGGCCUCUUUAUUUAUUAUUCAGCGGCCAUCUUUAUUUAUUAUUCCACCAAAGUCUAACAAAAACAUACAUCAAGCUACUCGAAGACAUCACUCACACCUACAAAACUCGAAAAUGUAGAGUGCUCUCACACUCCUCAUAUCUAAACCGGUAUCGUCGCUGAUCCAUCCACAUAACGUGUCGGAACGAACAGCCAGUGCAGCAGACCUAAAGCGCACACCACAUGCACAUGUUUUAGACGCCGCCAUCAUCUGCAGACCGCUGACCCAUCUUCAGGAGAGAGAUCCACAUCAUCCUUGCCAGUCCGUCCAUCCAGUCCCUCCCUCCUCUCGGCCUCCCUAUUAUCCCUCCUCACCCUCUGCUGCUGAUCUGUGGCGGCCUCUCCAAUAGCUCUGUGGCCUUCUUUCGCUGCCGCACCGGCCCGAGCGUUGUCGCUUGCAAGCCGUCCGGAGGCCACAAUGGCGCUCUCCCGUCGGGACUUUGCCACAUUCCAGCAUAUCAGUUGCUCUGUCAUGGGGAUCUGUCCUGCUCCUAGCCGUGUCUCCCGCGAUGGUGGUAGACCUGACUUGUACUACAAUGUUCUUUGGUCGCACGGCUGGCCACGGCGGUUUGCUCCGUUCCUUUGUAUCUAUGUUGCAGCUUCAAUUGUGUUAUGCAUGUCAUGGAUGUAUUAUAAUUCUGGGAUGCAUGUAAUUGUAUUGCUAUGAAUCUUAAAAUUGCUAGGUGUUCCAUGAACCAAUGAAUAUGCUAGAAAAUAUUACUCUGUCAUAUAUAUGUUAGAAAAUGUUCUCGUCGGGCCGGGUUUCUCUGCCCUAGAGAACAUAUUCUACAUGUUAUAUGCGACAAUGUAGUGAUGAAUAUUUCACCGGAAAUAGUGUAAAUGCAACCAACUCCCCCAUUAGGAGACAGAGUGGAAUAUUGUUUGACGAUAGACUUGGUUUAUGCAUAUUCGACGCACGUUUGAAUUUUUUCUCCCGAGCCACAAGAAAGCUCCUCGCGCGACCGCGUCCGUCCCUCAUGGGCGGCCGGCCGCGCUGUCCAUCCCUCCUUCCCAGCGCUCUCCCCCACCCUCUCUCUCCCCACCGUUGCCGGGGUGCAUCCCCGGGCUCGGCUCGGGCGGCGCCGGCGGUGCGGCCCACGGCUUUCCCCCCUGCGGCAGAUCCUGUGCGGGGCGGCGCUGCUUAAGGAGGUGCUCUCAGGUGGCGAUGGUUCGGCGCUGCGGUGGGCUGGUUCGCCGCUGACUUCGGUGGUCAGAGGCGGAGGAGCUCCGCGGCGGCGCGGGCUGGUGGCGCCCGUUCGGCCCAGAUCUGGGCCGAGGCGGGCCGGCAGCUCCGAUUUGUGGUGUAUCUUCCUGGAAGCGGCGGUGGGGUGUCUGGAUCCUGGGUGGUGGCGGCAUCGUUGCCGGAUUGUGCAGCGUGGCGGUGGAGUCUUUGCGGGAUCGAUCUGAGCCCGGCUAGGCCCGGGUGGCCUGGUUUGCCUCCCGCCUCGGCGUCCGGCUGGCUACCGCGAUGGCGUUGGAGGAACUGGCCUCUGGCGCGGCGUCGGUGGAGGUUGUCCCCUCCCGCUUGGCUGCGGUGCUGCCACCCCCGGCUCCAUGCGUUCUCAUUUUCCGUCCUCUAGGCCUCGCGGUGGUGGCCUUAGUGAGACGGCGUGGGUGGCCUCAAGACCGCGGUGGCGAAGGAGGGUGGGUGGCGUGUUGGGUGGAAGACUCCGGAGCGAUUGGGUAGUGUGCACAAGUGUUAGAAUCCUAAAAGGUAAAUAGUUUCUUAAGAUCUGAAGCAAGUGUUGGAAGAUUCUGCUGCCUCUAGAUACACAACAAAUGUCCACAUGUUGCUUCUUGGAGAAGCCGAGAGAGCCUUGAGCGGAGUGUUUAACCUUAUGUAUGAUAUUCUUAACUACCAUUUGUAUUAAAUGAACCAAUAAACAUUUUAUGUUAAUUGUCUUGACAAAUUUUGCUGUGUGCAGACUUACAUAUUAGUGGCACUACACAAAAAAAGAUGGCUAAGGGGUUUAUGAAGUAGGAUAGAGAUUGGUGAGAAAAUAUGUGCCCUCUCUCUCGUUUGUAAAGAGGUUCAAAUGUUAUGUGUGUAGCUUUUGCUAGUAUUCUCGAAUCGUUGGCCGUGAAUUGUCAAUUGUGUAAAUGUACAUGUGAAUUGUCUUAUGAAAAACAAUGUGCAACUGAGUGAUUAUGCCUGUGUAUUGUGUUCAUGUCUUUCUGUAAAUUUCGUUUGCAUUGCUGGUAACAUACUGAAAUGAAGUGCAUGCAUGCAAUGGUGAAAUGAAUCGGUACGAUCGACUGGCUGGCGGUCCAAACUAGUACACUAUCACUGACCGGUUAGAUUGCGGGUCUAUGAUGAGCAAGUCAUCACAAACCCUGAUCCACUGACAGACCAGCAACUAGUUAGUGAUGAUGAAAUUUGGCCGGUAAGUGUUAUUCGGAUUUGUAGUANNNNNNNNNNNNNNNNNNNNNNNNNNNNNNNNNNNNNNNNNNNNNNNNNNNNNNNNNNNNNNNNNNNNNNNNNNNNNNNNNNNNNNNNNNNNNNNNNNNNNNNNNNNNNNNNNNNNNNNNNNNNNNNNNNNNNNNNNNNNNNNNNNNNNNNNNNNNNNNNNNNNNNNNNNNNNNNNNNNNNNNNNNNNNNNNNNNNNNNNNNNNNNNNNNNNNNNNNNNNNNNNNNNNNNNNNNNNNNNNNNNNNNNNNNNNNNNNNNNNNNNNNNNNNNNNNNNNNNNNNNNNNNNNNNNNNNNNNNNNNNNNNNNNNNNNNNNNNNNNNCUCGGGUUUCUGCCCCUUUAUGAUAUAUGAGAAAACUGAACGAUUCAGGUGAAACUAGUCAUGAUAAUAAUUAGCAAUUCUAGUAUUUUAACACACAUAUCCCAAUCACUAUAGUUUUUUCAAACGACUAUUUUAACAACGCAUCUACGAUUCAUAGUAAAAUGUGACAUUGUAUACUGUAAAAUUUCUACAAUCUACAAGGUCAAAUUUAUUGUAAAUGUGACCACAACACCAGAUACACUAGAAAUAAAGUAAAACCCUAAAAGUCCCAUGCUAGCUAGACUACUCUUGGUUGGCUAGAAAUUAGGAGGGAGUACCCAGAUGCCAGUUUGAGCACGAGCUGCUACAUAAGAUCCCGCUGAUUUGAUCCUCUGUGUGACAUUGUCGCUACUUUCAUCUUGCAUAGGAUAUACACGGUUACCAUUGCCAUCAAAACUUGCCAAGUAUGUCAUAUCAUCAGCGUAGAUGUGGUUUCUCUGCACCCUGUCGCGCCCAACCACCGGCACGUCAACCGCCCUGGACAUUUUCCCCAAAAAUAAGGCGGAGUCACCCAAGGUCCUUACUUCCUCCCACUUACGAGCAUACUUUGUCAUCGAGUCAUCAUCCAACACAUAAACCUUGAAGAAAGGCUCAGGGCCGGUGUGGUAUGAUGGGAAUUUCCCCAGUACCAUCGCUAGCUUCCCUUGCAGCUCAACAAUGUGAGUCGACCAUGUGAAAGGUUCACUAACAAUCUUGAUAUGCAACUCGGCGUCAAUGGCGAGCAGAGGCCUGCCAUAUUUGUUCGCGCCUAUGUUGAAUUUGAUCAGGUCAUUGGAGAAUAUUAUAUUAAUGUCAAUUUAAUAUUAUACUAUGUGUCGUCAAUUUAAAAGGCUCCUGCCGUCAUGCCUUUGAGUAUUAUAUUAAUGUCAAAUUGUUUAAAUGCUAGUAAUUAGUUAACUUAGAAGCAAACUGUUUAUUGAUAAAAUGCUAUAGUAUAAUUAAGGGAGUUUUUUUUUUGAAAAAUAAUAAUGUUAGAUAUAUGCUGAUGCAACAAGGGCAUGAUUUUAUUUGUUAGCAAUACUAAUAAAAAAGUUCAUAGAAAAUAAUUUUAUACUCCCGAGGGUUAUACACAUAGUUUAAUUUGUUAAUUGUUAAAAAGUUAGCUAUACAACUAGCUAUAUAUUUGUAAAUACUAAUUAGUAGUGUAAAAAAGCAGGAACGAGCACCCGCCUAUGAUACCUUGAUUUACCAACACAAAACGUGCAUCUUGUGUGUAUGAUUGUGAAAUGCACGUUGUGUGUGGAGUUUGACAUCUAAUUUUUAACCCGCUGUUGGUCUUUCAUAUAGAGGAAUGUCUCGCUGUGCUUCCACGAGUCCCUGUAGUUCGCUACGGCUCAGAAACACAGUGUUCGGACGUCAGAUACACUAAAGUUGCACUAUGACAACCAUUGUACAAUCCAGCCCGCCUCAGUUAUAUUAAUAAAAAUAUCGAUCCGAGAACUUUAUCAUGUAUCUGGUUGCGACAGACGCAUAUACGUUCGAGAAAAAGGAGAUAAAUGGUCCUGCGAAGGUAAGGUGGCAGCUAUCGGUGUUCUAGUACACAAGACAACCGAACGCUACACACAGUACUACAAGUCAGUAAUAAAUAGAGUCUGGCGACUACUAGGCUGGCAUGACAGUGCUGUCGAGCGACUCGCCGAUGUGUAUGGCAAUGUGGAAAAUGCAUCCCAUUACUUCUCAUCUCCGCUCCUCUUUGCUCGGUUUGUCCAAGAAGCGGAACACACCACUCAUGUCGGCCUACAUGGCAUAACAUGCUCGUGGAGAAACUAUGNNNNNNNNNNNNNNNNNNNNNNNNNNNNNNNNNNNNNNNNNNNNNNNNNNNNNNNNNNNNNNNNNNNNNNNNNNNNNNNNNNNNNNNNNNNNNNNNNNNNNNNNNNNNNNNNNNNNNNNNNNNNNNNNNNNNNNNNNNNNNNNNNNNNNNNNNNNNNNNNNNNNNNNNNNNNNNNNNNNNNNNNNNNNNNNNNNNNNNNNNNNNNNNNNNNNNNNNNNNNNNNNNNNNNNNNNNNNNNNNNNNNNNNNNNNNNNNNNAAGACGAUGAAAAUUGAGUAAACACAAAAGUAAAGUAGCCGGUCUCAUUAUCAUUAGAAGACGAUGGCAACUACUGCAUGCACCCAUACAUUCUUGGAUCGCUAUAUUUGGCUUAUUCGGUCACAAACCGACGACUUUGCAGCUGCUACAUAAACAACGCUACUCUGGAUCUUAGGGAAAAAUGUUUGGAGACGGAUAUUGAUAAAGGAAACCGAGGAGAGUUGGUGAUGUGAGUCUACUCCAUCGUGCAUGCUACCUACAUGGACAAGCACAUCCGACCUGGCACAGCCUCGAGUUUCAUUAUCCCCUCUUGAUCCCUCUGAUGUUUCCUCUUUCUCUUCAUCAUCAUCUUCACAUCCCUCAAUGUGCACGUUUUUGUGCCUCGAUUUGAUUGGUUCAACUACUUGCUGGCUAUCCUCAGAGUGGUCAAUUUUUUUGGUGUUCGCGAGGAGUCACCAGUACAAGCAUGGUACUGAUAUGUCAUACAUGACCGUGGCAUUUGUACUUGUAGUUUCCUUUCAUUUUUCAUUUUCCUUUUUAAACGCAUACUGUACUUUCUUUACUACACGAUAAUUAAUAUACACUGCACAUUUUUGUAGUAUACGUCAAACAAAUUUUUUAAUUGUAUGAAAACAUAUUUUAUAUUCACACUAUUUUAAAAAAAUAUAGUGAAUAUUUCUAAAUACAUCUAUAAUUUUUUAAUACACAAUGGACAAUUUUUUCAUGUACACAUAACACUUUUUAGUAUAUGAGGAACAUUUGAAAUAUACGGCGAACAUUUUCUAUAUACCCACUAAUAUUUUUAUAAAUGCUGAACAUUUUAAAAGUACACGUUCAUUUUUGUGUUUUCACAAACCAUAGAAAACCAAGAAACUGAAGUAAAAUGAAUAAACGAAAAAAAACAGUACCGGACAGCUCCGUCGCUGCAAAAAUAGGUCUGCACGUCUUAGUGGGCCUACCCAUUCAGAGUCACCUAUGCGUAUCCUCAACUUUUUCGACAACGGGUGCCUUUUAUUUACUUAUAAUGUUGCAUCGAGGGAUACAAUCAUAACAAGCACACACCCAAACUAUGUAUAACUAGCAUACACACUGCGAACACACAUAAAAAAUCACACUGGCAAAUAACAAAGUCAAAUAAGACAAGAACUAUGGCUAGACACAUACAGAAAACGAAGGAAAGAAGAAGAAAUCCCGAGGCGACCAAAAGAGCAUACGUGAGUGAUCAUAUGUGCCAACCAUCUGAACUACUGCGUCAACUAGGAGGUCUCGCUUCUAAGGCCAUCAAUAAUAUUAACGAUGGUUCCAUAUAAAAAAAGAAUAUUAACGGUGGUAGCAGGUGCGAGAUCUUAAAUUAUCAUUUUUUAAGGCCGCUCCAUCGUUUUUGUUCUGCACAAGUGGCUCCCCUAGCCGUAACCCCACCCACUGGUUAUGUAGUUCUUUAAGAGAAAAUCGAUGACACAUGCAAGCAACAAUUUUGUAUCUUCUGUCAUUUGUUUAUACUAUGCCAUCACGAGGAGAUUGCACUUAAAAAGACAAAUUGCAUAUAGGAUAGUUAAAAAAGGGUUGUUUUCUGUCGUGGAAAGGUUGAUUCUAGUAUGAGUAUUCUCUUGGUAUCCGUUCCUUCAUGGAGAAGAGAAGGUGAUUUUCUCUCGCCGCCCCGUCAAUUGAAAUUAUACAUGUUCAAUGAUGACAUGAAGGUUAAUUUCACACCACUCAUUCAUUGUGCUUGCCUUGAGUUCCCUUCAAGGAUAUACCGUGGCAUUCCCGCCUCAAAGAGCUUUUUCAAACCCCUUUCUCAAGAUGCACAACUCAGUCAUUGUUAUCUUGUGUAGACGGGUUCAUCCAACAGGGUAUAAGAUAACACGAUGGACUGAACUGAAGAGAAAAGAAAAAAAAAAUCAUCUACUAAGCCUUAAGCAUUAAACAAGCUUGGAGUGUUGGUCAGCGUGCGACAUCAUUCAAGAAUUUUGUGGACCUACGCUGACCCAAUGAACUUGUGCCCUAUCCCUUGAAGAAAUAUCUCAUCAAUUAUGAAUAAAAAUGUUUGAAGCAUAGAAGUACUCAUGUUUUGACAACAAUACGACCCAUUGUCAUAAACUCAUAAUAUCCCCAAUUUUUACUCAUGAAAAUCAUGUUUGCAUCCCUUUUUGACUCGUUACAUUGCAAUUGUGUCCCAAUUAGAUAACAAUAACACUAAUGAUUGAGCUUGCCAUUGGUAUUCAGUUAUGUGUACACACACAUCACCUUAUGGGUAUUUCACACGAGAAGAAAAUUAGAGGCGAUUUAUUUGCAACUAACAGGCGCUUGCCGCCUCCCAUUGGCUCGCUGCUUGCCAACAAGCAUUCGAUUCCAUUCAACUGAAUUUAAGAAAAAUGGUCAGCAUGUUGGCGCUGUACUGUGUUGGGUUCGUUGAUUGCAUCCAUAUAUAUAAGCAGUCCAUUCCAUUCAACUCAAUUCAUCAACUGCAUCCAUAAUAAAUAUCAAAAAUUCCCCAUGGCACACAACGUGAUUUGCUUGCUUCUUGAUCGGAUUAUCAAACACCGGAGGGGUGUCUUCCUGUGUGAGGGUGGCCGAAACAAACUCGGCAAUUGCAGACGCUCUGAACUCGCCAUCUGCAAUACACACAGUACAUUGUUAGCCAAUUUAACAGUCAAACCAACUCGGUACAUAGAAAUGGAAAGGAGAAGCUAAAACAAGUUUACCAUAUACUGUUAACUUCGCCUCUUUUUUCUUGAGCAGGACUAGUGAUGGGCGCUUUGCUUGCGGGUCAACAUGGAAAAGCUUGGCUAUAUCAGGACUGGUAGUCUGGUAGAUGUUGACAGCCCGGUACAAGCUGUUGAAAUCUUCCAGCCUUGAGGCAGCAGCAAGCUCUUCGGUGUGAGCACCCUAUAGCAUUUGUUGAUAAGAGUAAUCAAUUUUGGGCCACAUGUGCGGUGCAAUUGCAGCAAUUCGGUUGGAUGGUAGACUUUGCUGGGAUUGGAACGUACCGAAAGGGAGUCGAGGAAAGCUAGCACGGCUACUUUGCCGCCGGUGAUGAUCUUCUCGGCCUCGUCGAUGGUGGUGACGUUCUGCACCUCAGGGCCCAGCCUCUGGGAUAUCCAAGUGACCAUGGCGUCCCUGCAGCAGUGGAAAAUUCGCCACCAUGAGGGAUGAAAUAUAAGACCGUUUAGAUCACCAAAGUAAUCUAAACCACGAACAAAAAAUAAGAACAAAAAAUUUGAAUGGAACAUUUCCUGAAAUUCACAAACAUUUCUUAAAAACAUGAAUCUUUCUAAACCACGAACAUUUUUUAAGUUGUCAACAAGAACAUGUUUUGAAGAUUCAGAAGAGUUGUAGUAAUUUUUUUCUUUAAUGCAAACAUUAUUUUCAAUUUUUGAACAUAUUGUGAAAACAACAAUAUUUUUAGAAUUUGGAAUAUUUUCAAAAUGCAUUUUUCUAAAUAUUGUUUUUUAAAUACAGUUAUUUUUUAACAAAUGGCAAUAUUUUUUAAAUUUUGAAAUACAUUUGGCAGAACUAAAAAAAUUCCAAACAUUUUUAGAAUAGGAACACAUUUAUGUAAUUCGUAUAUUUUUAUGAAUUCUUGAAUAAAAAUGAAAUUGCGAUAUUUUCCGAAAAUUUUGAAUUUCAGAAAAUACGUAGAAAAUAGACUUAGAAUGUGAAAAGUAAAAAAUAAAUACGAAACAAAAAGAGAACUAAGCAGAAAAAUAAAAAUGGAAACCGAACACAAGCAUAAAUCGGCCGCUGAGUUUUGGGCGCCUUGUGCGUACCUGAAACUAUUUACCGCCUUGUGCGGGAAAUAGGAUUUUUUGUUGCUACAUGGGCAGGAAAAAAUGGGCUGAAUUUACGGGGCCAUAGUGCGCGCGGCCCAUGUACGAAAUUUUGCACAAAUUGUUUUUCCUUUGCUAAUAGACGAACAUAGAAAGUUUAGUACCACCUCGGAAAGAAAAACAAUAAUUUUUUGGCGGUGAACGGAUAAAAAAAUCGGAGAAACGCACCUUGCUUUAUUAGUAGGUAUAUAUAGAUAUUGAUAUAGAUAUAGAUUGCUCAAGGUGAAAAGCUAAGGCUAUCCUCUUAAGAAAAAAAACGAAGUUAUCUUCCUCGAAAGAAAAACAAAACUAUGUUAUAUAUCCUCCUCUCAAUCAACAAAAUCACCUCUCCUCGAGCAAGCCAACUCUGACUGCACCAUGGGUAAACGUCAAGAUCCCUCCGAACGAUACACGAGAACCGUCUCGGCCACUGCCAAACAAUUGGCCACAAGCUUCGACAACAUAGCAGCUUGGAUUUUGCCGAUGAACUUUGCUGGGGAAAAUUGUAAGCCUCGCACCGAUCUAGUCCAGCGCAAUCUCUGGAGAGCAGCGUCCACUGAAACCAUCUUCAUGGAGUCAUCGUUUCCGCAGGCGCCCCUCCACACACAGCUUCAUCUUCUUUGUUACAACAAGAAACAAGCAUAGGCACACCCAUUGGCACACCCGACUGUCAAAUUCAGAAGGGCCAACCACGACCUAGCUCCGCUCGCCACCAUUGUCGUCGCCACGAGUGCCAACACCAACUACUCGCAUCAUCAGCUGUGCACCAUCCAACCGUGAGAAUGUGCAUAUCCAACCCAGGAAAAGUGUGGAGGGGAACAAAUCUUCAAGACGGCGCCCUAAGUGGGGAGCGAUGCAGAAAUAACAAUGUUGUCCGACCCUGCAACAGGGACCUUAGGCUUUUACUGAAGACAUCCCAAGGGUGACCAAGAUGGAAGAGCUGCACGGCGACCCUCCAAGAAGGAAUAACGACACUAGCAACCGCCACAUCAUCAUUGAUGGCAUAAUCCAGGCAAGCCUUUGCCCCGGAGGAACAAACGUGCACAUACACCCCCACUAGACAAAAUACUGCCUUACCUAUAGACAAAUCAGUUCUUUUUUGGGCGAGAUAAGCCCAAAGUAAUCUGUGCAAAUAUUCUCUGUAAAUUCAAAAUCUAUGUGUAUUAUAUGUAGUUAAUCAACAUUUUACCGCCCAAAUUAGAAUCCUAGCCACUUUAUACCUCGAACUUUCAUUAAAUGUGUCUAGACUUACGUAUUGAGUGCACCAUGCAUGCUGCCAAGCCAACCCGCGUUGAAUCGCGCCAUAAAUUUCCUUAAGUUUAAAUUUCCGCUAGGAUUUACCUUGUAAAUAAGUUUCCACCGUUCUUACUAGCACAAAUUUAAAGCUUUGGGGUAAAUCCUUUCUGCAUAAUCCCUGUAAAAAAUGAUAAAAGUAAAGGUACAAAGUAGAAAUUUUAAUAUAUAUCAUCACACAAUCAUAGUACAACCAGCACACACAUACAAUUAUCAUCCAUACAAGCCAGAAAAGUAAGUCAGAACAAUCACAAGAUUUACAUGGGCAUCAUACCCUAAUCUUGAUUGAUCUUGACAUUAUAUAGCACAGAAUGACUUGAUGGUGGUGGGUUACAACACACCACUUAUUUAAUCCAGCAGGCAAUAUAAGUCACGAGUAUACUAUAUCUGGCGCGGUUGAUGUACUCGAACAUCUCAUCCCAGCGGCUCCUCUUGGAUGUGUGCUUCCACAUUUUCCUUUUCCGCUUGUGUCCCAAGUGGUGGUUUUGGUUGUGCAUUCGGGUCCGGCAGUCCAGGCAGUGGUUGUGGGUUUGGGUCUGGUAAUGGUUGUGGGUUUGGAUCAGGCUGCGGUCCUGGUAAUGGCUGAGGGUUUGGGUUUGGUUGUGGGUCCGGCAAUGGUUUUGGGUUUGGGUCUGGUAAUGGUUGUGGGUUUGGAUCAGGCUGAGGUCCUGGUAAUGGUUGAGGGUUUGGGUUUGGCUGUGGGUUNNNNNNNNNNNNNNNNNNNNNNNNNNNNNNNNNNNNNNNNNNNNNNNNNNNNNNNNNNNNNNNNNNNNNNNNNNNNNNNNNNNNNNNNNNNNNNNNNNNNNNNNNNNNNNNNNNNNNNNNNNNNNNNNNNNNNNNNNNNNNNNNNNNNNNNNNNNNNNNNNNNNNNNNNNNNNNNNNNNNNNNNNNNNNNNNNNNNNNNNNNNNNNNNNNNNNNNNNNNNNNNNNNNNNNNNNNNNNNNNNNNNNNNNNNNNNNNNNNNNNNNNNNNNNNNNNNNNNNNNNNNNNNNNNNNNNNNNNNNNNNNNNNNNNNNNNNNNNNNNNNNNNNNNNNNNNNNNNNNNNNNNNNNNNNNNNNNNNNNNNGGCAAUGGUUUCGGGUUUGGGUCUGGAAAUGGUUGUGGGUUUGGAUCAGGCUGCGGUCCUGGUAAUGGCUGAGGGUUUGGGUUUGGUUGUGGGUCCGGCAAUGGUUUUGUGUUUGGGUCUGGUAAUGGUUGUGGAUUUGGAUCAGGCUGCGGUCCUGGUAAUGGACGAGGGUUUGGGUUUGGCCGUGGGUCUGGUAGUAGCUGCGGGUUUGGGUUUGGCCAUGGGUUCAUCAACCGUUGCAGGUUUUGGCCUGGCAAUGGUUGUGGAUUUGGGUCAGGGUGUGGUCCUGGUAAUGGUUGAGCAUUUGGAUCAGGUUGUGGCUCAGGCAGUGGUUGUGGGUUUGGAUUAGGUUUAGGAUCGGGUAGUGGUUGCGGGUUUGGGUCUGGUCGUGGUCCUGGCAGUGGUUGUGG
rnacentral:lncRNA from 1 species